AACGGCUCUGGUUGAGAGUCUCCCUCCUUUUCAGUCCGAUGCGUUUGAGCAGUAGUCGUUCCCAUCCUCUUGAUUUCCGAGUCUCGUGAAAGAAAUCCAAUGCGAAAAAGACAGCAACGACCUUCUGAUAGUUAGGAAAAAAAGGCAAUCCAUGUUCCGCCCUUCCUCUUUCGCUUGUUUUGGCUGUGAGUUCUUCUAUUGAAUCUGUUGCGAGAGCGUAUUCUCUUAUCUAAGCUUCCUCCCUUCGCUCCCCCCAUCGUAGAUGGUUCAGCCACACCCGGUGCCACGAAAUGAUUGAGAACUACGACGGGGUCGAAAUGCAUUUUGUUCUUUGUAUUAAAAAAGUAUUGCAUGACCGAAUAAUUCAAGGAGGGGCGCACAGCGGGGAGGGUCCUUUUUAGUAGAUGACUCGUCGGGCCGUCAUUUUCUAUCAGGAAGGCUAUGUCAUUUACAACCCCGGCAUAUUUCGGAUGCUUGAAGGCCCCGCUCACCCGAAGUGAUUUAGAAAAAUUCUUCUUUCUCGAUGAGAUUAGCACAUUUUUCCUUAUUUAGUACUGGUUUGUGAACUGCCUCUUCUCCCAAGGAAACUACUUUCUGGGUAUCGACCGUAAUAGGCAGAGGGCGCGGUAUAGGAAAGGAGUGGAUCAAAAGUAUCUGCGCAGAAAGAAGAGGAACAAAGGAAGGCGACAAGAAGGCCAAGCAUGCCCGACGAGUCAACUCUUUAAAAAGCUAAAAUAGAUGCCAACCGCACAUGAAUUGCAAGAAUGUGGUUAGUGAUUGAUUGUGAAAGCAACAAUUGAAUAGAAAAAUAAGUUGAAGGAGCUGUCAGCGAGAAAAUGUUGGAAUAAAGGGUCUUGGCAUGUAGUCUGGUCCAACCACAACGAUAGGGAUUGGAAUGAAAAGUGUUUGCGCCCACCUCACCAACCAUCUUGUCCCGAUACAUACCUUCCCCUAGCAAGAGAUCAUGGUCAGUUCUUUGUACAGCCCAUGGUAUGAUAUUUGUCGAGAAGAAAAGAAUGGCAGCCGUGUUAUCACAGUAGAUCACGGUUGUCUCAUAUGCAUGCUUAGUCACAUCAAGACAGAGAAGAUAAUUUCUCAGCCAUAUUGCUUCUUGAACUGCAGCCGUGCAUGCUAUAUAUUCUGAUUUCAUGGUAGACAAAGAGAAACAAUCUUCUUUCUUACUGCACCAAGAUAUUGAGCCUCCUUCAAGGAUAAACAUAUACCCUUGCCUUUUUUCGUCCAUCUUUAUCAGCAGAUCCCUCGGCAUCGCUGUAUCCAACUAAAUGAAAACUACCACCUUGGUAGCAUAAGGCGAGAUUCAUCGUACCACGUAGGUAACGAAGGAGACUCUUUACUGCCAUCCAAUGAAAAAUUCCGGGAUUGCUUUAGUAUCGACUCACCAUACACAUCUUCUACCUCAUCACUGUCAUCAUUUGCCGGUGCAGAUAAUGACACAUGCUCCUCAAGGAUAUCAACAGAACCAACCUUUUGUAGGUAGCAAAACAUCUCACUCAGUAACUAAAUUAGAGUUCGAUCUUUUACAUUUAUGUUGUCUUUUUGCAUUUAUGUUUCGAUCCGACAUCAGAUCUGAGUUAUUGUUCACUGACUAUAUCUUAGACCAUUGCGAUCUCUUUCUUUCACUUGGUUUUUCUGCCUUCCCUUCGGUACUCCUUAACUCGGAGAUACUCCUUCGGUACUACUUGGCUACUACUUGAACAGAUGGGUUUAGUCCCUUCCUUCGGGCAACGUUUUCUCCUGGUACCACCGGGUUGAAAGAAAUCCCUUACUAUUAGGACAUAGUGUUCGGUACGACUUAAGGCUACUGGAUUUACUUUCUUUAAUGUUGCAUCUGCUUUCAACUAUUUCAUAGCCUCCCGUCCCGAGCAAACGUCAAGAGCAGGGUGUUGAGCCAAAAAGUAAAAUCCAUAGAGUUGGGGACUAAAGAGACUCUUUUUUGACAGCCAACCAUGAAGAGAAGAGAGUCUCAGAGUAGAUUUGGUAAUGUUGAGUCGAUCUAGUAUGGAAAAUUCCUCGCUGUGCGCUCGCCUUUUGCCUGCUUCUGCUUCAUCUGCGGAUUCCUUCCCCAGAGUUCUUACUUAUAGGCUUUAUAGCCAAGCAGUCCAAUAGAAUAGCUGCUUCUUCUAAAGCGGAUUAGAGUGCGACGACCAAAGCUACGGAGCAGCCUCUACCGCUUUCCCCACUGUUCUGGUUGAACUAGGGCUUUGGCUGAGCGACCACCUUCUUCCAGUAUUCUUAGCUUACUGUCUGCUUCCUGCCUGAUCGGUGCUGACUGACUGUUCUUGCUUGUCUUGGGCCUGCUCUAGUUUUGGUGCAGCUAACUAAGGGUCGAAUUUCGUGACUUGAUGAAGAGGAAGCCGAGUAUCUUUGGUAUUGAAGAGUCAGGCCAAUCCAACCCGCUUGCUCCUGCCCAACUCAGUCUCAGUCGUACCAUAAUCCUGCCCAACUUUUCUUGCUCCAAGACCACCCUCUAGCCCUCAUGUCAAAUAGAUGAAAGAAUUGUAAACAAUCAUUCUCACUUUUGGCAUUGUUUGAUGUGUGGAAUACGUGAUGGUGUCACGCCCGGAAUUUCUAUCCAAAAUUCCAAACGCUUACAUGUGUGUGAACCCUCGUCCAGGAAUCAGCCGAGGCACACAAUAACAAAUUGAUAAUAGAGUACAAUUAUUACUCCAAUUAAUAGGCGAAUAAAAUGUCAUUACAGAGGUAGAUAGUUCCUCUCAAUCAAUAAAGAUCUAAGCAGCGGAAAAUAAAAUAAACGGCGCGGACGGCUCCACUCCACAAGCAGCUUGACUAAGACUACACCUAAUCCUCCACACCAUCAGCAUCAUUGUAGAACUCUUCCUCUGAUGAAUGAUUGCAAGGUGAGUAUAUGACAUACUCAGCAAGCCACGCAGCAAAUAUGCAAGUGCACAGGAUAACAAAGGAUGGCAUAGUAGGGUUUCAUUUGCAAAAGCAGCAUUUAGCAAACAUUUCAGAAUUUAAUAAAACAGUUAAGUAAUAAUUAAACAAUAUUAAUCCAACGCUAUACAACAUACCCUGUUGUAUAGGCCCAACCAUUCUGAACAACCAUCCCAGCUGCACAGUUCUAUCUCCAAACCAGGAAUAUACCAUUCCAAACCAGGAGCUAAACAAAUUAUUACCAGUUAUAGCAUCUUUUAUUAUGGUGAGAAGUGUGAAACUAAUCACGAAAGACAUUGUUAGACCUGCCCAUAACCGCGGGCGCGGCUAUUCGAAUAGUUUUACUCUGAUCAGAGGUGUACCACUGUACCCACAAGACACAACCCCACAUCAUGUCACCAUGUGCCUCAAUACCACCACGGUACCUCGGAAAGGAGUUGUGACAAUACCCCUUGCAUAACACAAUCCACUACAGCGCACCUUUCCUGGAUCAUAAUCACCCCCUUAAAAACAAGGCAUGGACUCCCCAGCGACCCCCGUGGGCUUAUCUCCGCCACUUCUCAGUCUGGUGCCCCGCAAUGAACCAUGCUAUACAAAAGAUAAAGUCGUUGCCCACGCUGGCUUGUGGUUGGCACGGUUAAUGUUUCACAACCGAAACUCGUGAACCGGUCCUUAAUUGUCAUGAGCACGACUCUCAAAACCAUGUGCUCACAACCCACAAUUAUCAAGUUUUAGUUGGCACAUUCAUUAAUUAACCAAUCACGAUUGGCCAUCGUGAACUAUCAUUAAGCCAUCAUUAAAUAAUAGUGAGUCAUAAGUUAUCCCAAUAAUGUGCUAAUGUUUCUAAGCAUGGCUAAGCAAUCACAUCUAAUAUCUAGCUGAACCAAUAUGUAAAGCUCAACUAGUCAAGUUAUAAUAACACAGGUAUCAAGGAAUAAAGUAAUCAAGAACAAAAGGGCUAUAACAAACAAUAGGUUAAUUCCACCCAAUGACAUUCGAAAAUAAAUGCAAUAUUUGAAUAGAAACAGUAGCUUUAAACGGGAUCAACAUGCUCAAAGGGUUGUUUGGGAUCUGUGUGACUUGCCUUACUGGCCUUGGAACUCUUCAAACUCUUCUCCUGCGAAAACGGACUCUCCGGAAACGACGGAAUCUAAGCAAAAAAGAGCAAAAUCACCAAAACAGCACAUAAACAAGCAUGAACAGUACAUGUGGAUAUUUUUAACAUGUAGAUCUCAAUUUUAGAAAAAAUUAGAGACUUGAACCAACUAAAACGGAGCUAAGAUGAAUUAGUUAUGAAUUUUUGAAGAUUAAAUCGGAUUAAAACACUUAAAUUGAUUUUAAUUGAAUUAUGACGCAAUAAUGAAUUAUUUUUGAAAAGGAAAAGGAGGAUUAUUGCGUCAGCGGGCUAGGGUUUCGGUGGACCGGGCGCACGGGCGACGGUUCACGCGAACGGACGGCCGGGAUCGAUCCAUCCAAAACGGACGGCCGAGAUCGAUCGGUCUACGACCGGCUCACGGAAGAGGGCGACGAUGACGUCAGCGAUGACGUCACCACCGGCGGCGGCGGCUCGGCGGCUCGGGCUUGCAUGCUCGCCGGCGAACGGCGGCGCUUCGGCACGAACGGAGAGCACCAACGGGUAGAGCGCGACGCGGCGAACUCACCGGUGACCAAAGGAGCAGCGGAAGAUCAACGGACGGUGACGGCGACGACGAAGAAACGGCGGCGGUCUUCGGGUCGACGGCGGCGAUGGUGCUCCGGCGAUCUUCGGCGACGGCGAAGGGGCGGACGAGGACGGCGACGCGACGACGACCACGACGGCGGUCUUCCCGAGCGACGGCGACGUCUGGAACGGUGGCGGCGCACAGCUGGAGCGACGGCGGCGACGGCGGCGCUAGGGCACACGGCGCUAGGGCGCUACGGACGACGAGAGGCGAAGGCGAAGGUGGCGGCGGGUAGAGAAGAGCUCGGGGGUCCUUUUAAAGGGGCUAGGAGGCGACGGCGAAGGCCCACGGCGGCUGGCGACGAGAAGGAAGGUUUAGGGUUCGGAGGAAAGAGACCGAUCCGAUUCGAACUCGAAUCAAACACAUUCCAAACCGAUUUAGCCGAUGUUUCCAAAGGAGAAAAGGUAGAGGAGAUCCCAAAGAUUGUUUCCCCUCAAUCAAUUUCACCGGAAACGAAAAGGAACGGCCGGAUUUUGGAAAGGAACGGCGGCGGCGCGAAACUAGGGUUUCGGGCGGCGGCGGCCGGAGGUUGACGACGACCCCACCUGUCAGCGGGCGGAUGCGCGCGCGCGCGGCGGUGGACUGGGCCGACUUGGGCCGAGGAGAGAGAGAGCGGUUUUGGGCCGACUUUCGGCCCAAAGCCAAAAGAAGACUUUUUAAAACCUUUUUCAAUUUAAAUUAUUCAUGAAAUGCAAUUCCAUUUAUUAAAAAUACUUCCUUAGCUCAAAUAAAUCCCAGAAAAAUCUAGGAAUUAUAGAAUUAAGCAAAGUAUUUAAUGAAAUUUUAUCUGGCCCCAUUUUAUAUUGGAAUUUAUUAAUUAAAAUUAGAUCUUCUCUUCAAGACUUUUAAAAUUAUUUCUAAAAAAUUCCAAUUAAACAACAAUUUAUAUAUUUUGAAUUUUCAGGGUGUGACAGAUGGACUAUGUGAUGGACUUUUGGCAUUGUGAUUUGUGCAAUUGGAACUGGUUUUAGUCUGUAUGAAACUGUGAAUUGUGAUUUGAAUUGCGAACUGUGAAUUGGUACAUUUGUGCAAUAUGGAUCUUCAUUUUGCAGGGAGGCAGAGGGCGGUGCUAGCCACCCUGGUGCCGCAGUUGGGGAGGGCGGCGCCAGCCAGUUGUCACGCCCGGAAAUAUACACCAUUUCCAAACGCUCAGUGCAUUAAUCCUCGUCCCAGGAGGCAAGGUACACAUAGACAUUGUUGAUUAUUACAAGCCACACUUGCGGAAGUGUAAAGGAAGUACUUUAUUACAUGGACGACUCAAGCCCUCGCACUCAAAGAUAAACAAAUAAAACAGCGGAAGACUACGGAACAGCAGCAGCCACAGGCACUCGACGGCGGAGUGAACUAGCCACACUUGCGGAAGUGUAAAGGAAGUACUUUAUUACAUGGACGACUCAAGCCCUCGCACUCAAAGAUAAACAAAUAAAACAGCGGAAGACUACGGAACAGCAGCAGCCACAGGCACUCGACGGCGGAGUGAACUAGAGAUCCAAGCCUUCAUCUUCCUCAGGUCCAUCCUCUGGAUUAUUUUUGUGAGCAAGAGUGAGUACCACCACCGUACUCAGCAAGUCACACCAGAAAUGCAACAAUAAUGCAUAGGGAGAAACAAGGAAAUGGCCUAAUAGGGUUUAUUUUGCAUAAAGCCAUAGUUUAAACAUUUUAAUCAGGUUAAAGCACAUUUUAAAACACGAUCCUAUUCUAAGCCAAUAUUAUAAUAUCACCAAGGUCGCAUGAGCCUGCGAACCUGCCUUAAUCUCCACAUGACUACACCAUCAUGAUUUCACCCACCCAAGGUUUUGUAAAACAGAACUAACUUUGGGUACACUGCUCAGCUUGCCCAUAACCGAGGGCGCGGCUAUUCGAAUAGUUUUUAACUUUGAUCAGAGGUGUACAACUUUACCCACAAGACACAACCUCAACACGCGUUGCCACGCGCCGGGUACCACCACGGUACUCGGAUAGAGGUCGUGACAAGACUAUCCAUCUAGGUCUACCCAAAAUAGGAGAACCUGCUGGGGUUUCGCCGCCCGCUGGUCCCCGACAAGGUAAAGGUUGUCGGAUCCCCCGGAUGAGACAGGCCCCCCCUUGCGCCGAGUGAAAAAACGGCCUUAAUCCUGGCUCCACACCCUUCCAACCAAUGGUCUCUGUUUUGAGAAGAUCUAAACUUCCAGUCAGGCCUUACCCACUAGACUUGUGGUUGCACGAAGAUGCCUUGCAAUAGAGGCCCGAAGACCGGUCCUUAUAUUAGCCGGGGUGCGACUACCAAAGUAACUAGCUUAGACCCUGAGCCCAACCCAAAAAUAUAUUUUAGUUGCACAAAGCAUUUUAUCACCACCUAUUGACAAACCCGUCAAUAGUCCAUAACUAAUCCAGUUUUAGUUGUUAACCACCAUAGUCUAGUUUAACCAAAAGUUCUAGGUUGGAACUAAGCAUAACUAAGCAUUUACCUAAAGCAACUAGUCAGUCCAUCAUGUAGGGUACUAGACUAGUCAAGUUAUAAUUUUACUAGGGUUCACAAAGAUCAUGGAUAUCAAAUCAACAUCAUGGCCAUAACCAAGAGCAUAGGAAUAACUAAUAAAACAUUAUUAAUAAUGAACGAUAUAAUUUAUAAAGCAAUGCAAUAUAAGUAAAACAACAUAAUUUUCACAAUAUGGGAUUCAACAUGUUCAAGGUAGAUAUGACUUGCCUUGAUCACUCACAAAGUCUUCGACGUCGACGGCGAUGAAGAGCCGAUCUUCCGGAACGGCAGGAUCUACACGACCAAUGCGAAGAAAUACAAAAAGGCUAAUAAAAACCAUAUGAACAGAAGCAAUAAACACAUAAAUGGGUUCUACUCAUUUUUAGGAGAAAUUAGAGAUUUGAACGGGUCGAUUCCGAGUUCAAACAGUCAAGAUAUGGCCAUUUGAAGUUUAUGUGCUGUUUAAAUGGAAAUUUGUAAUUUUGUGAAUUAUUUUUCUAAAGGAAAUUGAUUUAUUGCACAGAGAAGAGAGAGAGGGGUCCACGGGCGGGUCCUACUUGGCAGCCGCUCGGUACACCAUGAGGGCGGCUCACGGCGCACAAGCACGGCCGGGAAGGAGAAGCACCCGAGCCAGGCGGCACGCCGGCGACAGCCAACGGCGCGGCGACGGUGCGACGGAGUACGGGAAGGGGAAAAACGGAAAGGGGAGGAGACGACGGUUCGCACCGAGCAGACACGGCGGCGAGAGGUCGACGGUGUUGUCGGCAGUGAGGAAGAAACGGCGAGGAACUUCGGGUCGUCGGUGUCGUCGUCGUUCCCGCGGUCGUCAUGCUCCACGGAGGGGUGGACGGGGAAGAGGAGGAAGCGGCGAAGCGGAUGGUGGCGACGCCGGGCUCCGAUGAGGUCCCGACCACCGGCGAGGGGCGGCCGGAGUUGCGACGGCGGCGGCACAAGAAGAGAGCGGCACGUGGGCCGCGGAGAGAGGAGGGAGAGGGCGGCGGUGUGAGGGGAGAGAGGAGGGAGUCGGGGGUCCCUUUUAUAGGCCGGAGGGGAGGGAGAGAGACGCCGGGUAGGGAGAUCGACGCCGGCCAUGGUGGAGCUCACCAUUAAAGAACAUCAUCAAAAUCCACCACGAAUAAUGCGGGAUUGAGUGGGAAAUUAUGGGGAAAUUGGAGAGGAUGAGGUGGGAAUUAAUUCCCCUCAAUUAAUUUGAUGAAACGGCAAGUGGAGGAGGCGAAUCGGAGGUUGCCGUCGCUUGGAAUUCGGCCGGAGAGAGAGAGGAUGGCUGGAGGUUAGGGAUGACGAGUGGGACCCACCUGUCAUCGAGAGGGAGCACAGCUGUCUCUGGCUGGGCGCGCGGAGGAGGCAAAACAGACUUCGGACUUCGGUCUGCGGGAGGGGAGGAGCUGGGCUGGCCCAAGGAGAGGGAGGGGAGGGGAGAGAGGGAAGGAGAGGGGGCGGCUGGGCCAAGAGAGGGAGAGAUGGAGAGAUGGGCCAGAAGAGGCCCAAGAGGAGGAAGAGGACUUCUCUUAUAUUUUCCAUUUUAUAAAAUUCUUUAAUAGUUUUUGUUGCCUUAAAAAUAUUUAGGAUGCUCUGAAAAUUCAAGUAAAAAUUAGUUAAACAUUUUUAAGCAUGGGGAAUUUAUUAAAAAUACCCACAAGCCAAUUUGAUAUAAAUCUUGGUGAAUUUUAAUUGUUGGAAGCUCUUUUAGGCUUUUAAAAUUUCUAGAAAUGCAUUAAAGCACGAUUUAAAUUUAGGGCGAUUUUCAGGGCGUUACACCAGUGCCGCGAGGCAGAAGGGUUUCGGGGGGGAGGAGGGCGGCGCCAGCCACCCUGGCGCCGUGGUCCGUGAGGGCGCCGCCAGCCUCGGCCCAGAGGCAGAAGGUCCUCGGGUGGGGGAAGGGGGCAGCGCCAGGAUGGCUGGCACCGCGGUCUGGGGGGGGACGCCAGCCAUUGCCCGGAGACAGAAGAGACUUGGCGAAAAUUGGGGGGGAGAAAGUUGGUGGGGCCCGCAGAGGAGGGGUGCGCUAGACAAGCUAGCGCUGUGGUAUGAGGGGCGGCGCCAGGGUGGCUGGCGCCCCGCUCUGCCGAGUCAGCAAGUCCACGUAGGCCCUGGUGCCACGGUGGCACGGCCGCGGCGCUAUUGUGGCUGGCGCCGCUAUGUUGGAGGACGGCGCCAGCCUCUCUGGCGUCCCAAAAAGGACCAUUCCCGGUUUAAGUUUUUUCAGGGGUCUAUUUGUAAAAUAAAUUUUCAAAAAGGACCAAAAUGUAAAAAUUUCAGUGAUGAUAAUACCAAGCAUUUUUUCUGAACUCAUAGCCUGCAACAAAAAAAAAAUCCUCAUCAUUUACACCUAAAAGUUAACAACCACUUACACCUAAAGUUACUUCUACAGUAAGCAAAAUUACGUCAUAGAAAAAUAGUUUUCUAGUAUCUUCCUGAUGGAAUCUGAAGUUAAGCACAUUAAUUCCAUUCGCCCUAUAAAAACAUCUACUCUAAAACCAGUGACCUAUAAGUACAUCCAUUCCCUCUAACCCGAGCAAGCCUUCGUCCAUGGUGCUCUAUAAACAACUAACUACAAGCUAUGGUAUCAGGCUUCUCGACACUAAAAUAAAAAAAUUCAUGGACAAAAUUUUGACCAUGCAGGGUUCCUCGACCUAAUCCUGUGCAUGCAGCAAGUAAACACAUACUAAAUUAACACCAACAAUACAUAGCACAAAGGUAAUCCCUACUAAUUUUAAAGCAAAGUACUAAUUUGGGUCGAAUUCCAACACCAUGACAUCCACAUCCUAAUUUUUUGCACUAGAAAAUCACACAUAAUUGCACAGAGGCAUUCACGGAAUGCAUUUACAGAAAACUUAUCUAUAGGUCAUAUGACAAAAUCCCAAAAUCCGUGUGAAAAUCUCCAAAUGUGGUGCUGAAACCAAUUGAAAUCACAGACCAAAAAGGGAACCUCAGUGAUUUGCAUUAGACAAAAUUAGAAGUAAAAGGGAUGGAGAGAUAUGUGAGCACUAAUUUGACCUUAAACAUGUUUGUACGGCAACAGAGCACCGAACUAAAGUAGCCAACAGAAGAGCUCAAAGAGAUGAGACUACCUGAUUUGCACGAUGCGCUUCACUGCUCAGCCUAGCGCUCGCCAUGGUCGUCGCCCCUGCUAGAUCUCGCCUCAAGCCUGGUGACAACAACGAGGAAGACCUUGUGCUCACCGUCGCCCCUCUCCGCUCGGUGGAUGAGUCGCUGUCGCCUCCGCAGAAGCCAGCAGUCGCCGACACCGUCGCCGUCGAGGGAUUUGGGGGAGAAUCCGCAGCCUCUGCUUCUCUCUCUCUCAGACGCGACUCCCGAUUUCAAACAGUGAAGCGGGAUUGAGUGCGACGUUCAGUCUAAGAGCAGGUACAAUAGCAGGCUAUUAGCCAGCUAUAAACAUAUUUUAAUAAGAUAAACGAUGAGAGAGAAGAGCAGCGGGCUACAGAUAUGUAGCCAGCUGCAGCACGGACUCCAAGAUACACUGCGUGUAUGACAGGUGGGACCAUAUAUUAAUAGUAUAGUAAGCAGCUAUUGUAUGAAUUGGCUAUUAGAUUGGCUAUAGAUGAAUUAGAGCUAGUAGUGGGCUGUACUAUUAGACUUGUUCUAAGGCCUCUCACAGUGCAAGCCAUGGGGCCCGUACCCCUCGCCUAAAAAAUUGGCCCAGAGACACCCAUUCCAUAGUGCAAGCACAUCUAGUUGUGUGGUUUAAUUGAAUGGAGGCACUAGUAAAGGGUACCAAGCCCACAGUGGGCGUGACCCCAGACGCGUUACCACACAAUUAUUUCUCUCAACUACCCUCGCCUACUACUCGCGCGAGCCUUUUGCCUCCCCUCCUCGGCGCGACCGCCUCCUCCUCUCCUGCCACGCUCGCGCGCCUCCUCGCCUCCCACAAAACGGUGAGGUUGACGGUGCCGCCUCGUCGCAAGAAAUCGCGCGCACCGGCGAGCCUUUCCCCUCCCUCUCUGUCCCACGCUCUGCCUCUCUUCUCUCACGCGUGGGAGGAAGCGGGCUCGGGAGAAGGGCGGGAGCGGAUGGCGGCGAGGAGGAAGCGGGCGAGGGAGAAGGGCGGAAGCGGGCGGCGUCCCCGGUGGCCGGCGCCGGCUCUGCUUCUCUUCUCCUCCCUCCGGCAGCCACGGUUGCCGGCUCGCGCGGUGGCUGGCCCGGCAGCGGGAGACGUCCCCGACGGGAGCAACUGGCGCGGCGGCAACUAUGAUGAAGUCGGCGGCGGGAGGCGUCUCGGGCGGCGGUGGCGGCACCUUCUGGGCGGCCGGUUCUUGGCGGCGUGCGGCCGCCGGUUCUUGGCUUGGCUGCGCUUGAUCUAAUGAUGGAUUGGCUCCAACUCCGGUUAUUGAGUGUUGUUUUUGUGCAUGUGAGAUGUGUUGUUCAUUGGUUAAUAUGAGAUCUGGGGCCUGGAUUCCUCUUGUGUUCUUGGGACGGAUCGAGAUUUCUUUGUUUCUUUUGCUUCUUGGUGAUUCCUCUUGUGUUCUUGGGACGGAUCGAGUUCUUGCUUGGGGUGUUUCGGUGGCGGAAAGAAGGAAAUAGGUGCGGCGGGAGAGGAUUUUGGAGGGCAAAUCGAAGAUUUCACCAGGAGGUAUGGGCGCGAGGUCACGGGAGAGCGAGGCGACGCUGCCCACAGCGCGCGUGCCCGUGACUUUCGGCAACGCGCGCUCCCUCGCUUGGACCAGGUUCCACGCGGCUCUGCUUCGGGGCGAGGAGCUCAGCUAGGGCGCGCAUCUGUCGGGUCCCAAAACUAAUGAUUCGGAAACCGACAUGUUUAACUGUAUCAAGCCCUGGAUCAGUAGGUUGAUACAACUUCAAUAAUCUGGAUCGUCUUUGCAUAUGUUUAGACAUAGCUUUGAAGGAUAUAUAAAGUAAUAUGGUAUUUACGAGAUUGUGGCUAACUAUUACAGCAGAAGCUUUAGAAUGACCCAACUUUGCUGUUUUACUAUAGACUUAAACCAUCUAAAUAACUUAGACUUGAAGAUUAAGUUAAAAGGGAACUAACUUAUGUGAUUGAACUCCUGACUUCGGCAAGAACAUCAAAUGGACUCUUAAAAAGGAGGUUGAAGCAAGGGUGAGUACAACGUACUCAGCAAGCUAUUAUAUCAAAUAAUGAAUGCAUGAAAUAGUAUUUAAGUAGAUCUAGGUUUACUGGCUGAAAGCUGAGAAUAGAGAAAGAAAGCUUGGGAUGUCUUUAUGCAACAGUAUUUAGUAAAAUCUUGAAUUAAGUUUCUAACCAAAUACCAUGAGUCCUGAUACUCAAUCCGUGAGUAUGGCUAUUCGAAUAGAUUCAUUUUCACUUUACUGCAGUAAAUGUACGCUUUACCCGCAGUCCACGACUUGCCAAUAUUCAUUAGCUUAGUCGUAGCCCAGCCUUAGGUUAUUAACAAUAGUGGCCCCUGUUCCAUAAACUCUAGUCCCCAUGCGCUCUGAACGUAACGUUAUCAGCAGCGAGAGGAGUUCUGGUGUUCCCGAGGUUUUUAGAGAGAACUAGUUGAGAGACCCCACGUCAUCUCAACCAGGUUUCCAUAAAAUCACACACACAGCGAUCGUAAUAUAAUCAAGAUAUUUAUCUGCGCCUCGGUAAAUAUCACAUUUGCCCUUCGCGGCAUAAGUUUGCCUCCUUCGCGAGGACUUAGAUAAGAACCACUGUACAGAGAUACCACAUUGUUAAUUAACCUAAUAACUAGGUCUAUCCCCAUUCUAGAAGCUGCGGUCGUACUCGUUCGUUUGACAUAAGUAUUCGGUGGCAAUUAUAUCGAUCGAGACAGUACUAGCCACCCGGAAAUCAACCAAAUCUUACGUACUGUCCCAAUCGAAGUUCAUUAAAUUUUAUGCAUAUUCUAACUAAGCAUGGCUAAGCAAAAUCUAGCAUAUAUCUGGUUUGCUAUAUGUUCAGGUUAUGCAUUCAAAAUCAUGAAUGGCUAAUGCAUAGAAUAAAGCUAUAGAGUAUAGGAUAAUUAUACUCAAAGGAGAGGAAUAAUAACUUGCCUUGCUCCAACGCAAAUAAAUCCAAGAUAGGCAACCUGAUUAUCCGAUGCUCGAAAUACCACAGGUUGCCAUCCAGAAUAAAAUAGACUCUAUUAAAGAAGAGGAAUAACCAAAUUCAAUAAAAGCCAUAAAAUAGCAAGAAAAUGAUGAAAGGCGAGAAAAGCUAGGUUUGGGGUAUAACUAUCUCUUUAAUGGGUUAUUGAGAUAGUAUUUUAUGCGUAGGCUCUAGUUGGUUGGAGGCUAGGUUGAAGAGGGAAUCAAGAUUAGGCUUUGGUGGAAUAGUGGCUAGGGUUUAGUUGUUCUCGAGUCGAUGCUGAAAUAGGAUAGCAUAUCGGCUCGUAUUUCAUGUUUAAGCUAUGGGUAGUUGGAGGAUAAAUGGCUGGUAUGGAGUUUGAAUAGCAGGCUGGAUGGCUAGGGUUUCAUUUGAUUAAGCCGAUAUCGAGGUAGGAUAAACAUCGGCAAGGGUUUUGGGUAUUUGCUAGUCGUCAUUAGAAUUGGGUAGUAUGACGACUAAGUUUGGUAUCUUCUCUAGCCGAUAUCGUUGGACAAUAUAUCAGCUAGAGAAAUAGGAGGUGGGUGCAGGUUUAGUGGGGCGGAAGUGUUACUCCGGCAACCGUGGGUAGCGACGGAGCGGCUAGGAUUACACAGAGCUUAAAAGCUAACUGUGUGGUGUACAGUUGAGGUCGACUGAAUAGUGAAGCUCUGAACGUUAUACGCAUUGAGGCGUAAGGUGUUAGGAGCAACACUUCGACUUUAGAUUUGGGUUUUGUCUGACUUUACAACCAACGGUUCGACAUCGGGGGGUCAGUAGACCGUACGAACGUCCCCAUGGAAGGUGUAAAGUUUCAAACGGUGGUUGUUUAGUGGCAAAGGGUAAUUUGAGCUAAAAGAAGAUAUUUGAAAAGGUAAAUAUAAAUUCAAACGGUAUCAAAUAAAAUGAUCAAAUAGCAAAUUUGAUAUCAAAAUAUAGCUUUUGAAUUAAGAUGAAUUUAGGUCCAAAUUUCACCGGAAUCGGAUCUACGGUUUAGGAGAUAUGUGCUUCUAAAGGAUAGGAUUUGAAUUAACUAAGAAAAAUAUGAAAGGCUACUGUUGAUGGGCCCACCUGUCAGGGAGAUUCUUUUCUUUUCUUUUUCUCUUCUUCCUCCCGUCUUCUUCUUCCUUCUCUUCUUCUUCCCGUGCAACAGCAGAGAGAAAGAGAGAAGGGGCGCCGGUGCUCCGAUGGUGGAACGGCCUCGACGGCGGCGGCCAAGUGUGUUACCGGACAACGCGCACCCGGGGAAGUGGUCGCCCAGCGAAGGAGUUAGGAGAGGAGGCCGGAACGGCAAGUAGAAGAGCUUCUCUUCGGCUGCAAAGGAGGUGGUUAUGGUGGCUUGAUGGAGUGGAUAGGAAAGAGGGGAAAGGGGAAAAAUGGAAUCAUCUCGUCGAGGCGAACACGAUGGCGCGAGGGUUUGGCUUGCGAAGCUCUGGUGAGGGAGAUCGAGCGGUGGCACUAAUGGCCGGACAUGGCAAAAGAGAGAGAAAGAGAGCUCGAGUUGUAUGUAGAGAAGGGGGGAAAUGGCCGGCUAUUUAUAGGGGUGAAAGGCAGUUCGGAGGAGAAGGAUGAAUGGGUCACGGCGCCGAUGGAGUGGAGGAGAAGGAGACGGCGCCGGCUUCGUUUCCUUAGCGGCGACGGAAGGGAGUUUGCGGCGGCGUGCGCGUGCACGGCACGCGCGCUUGCGGGAGGAGGAGGGGCGGCUCAGCUAUGGGCCGACUUGGGCCGCGCGAGAGAGAAGAAGAAUUCGGCCCAAAGUUAAAAAGGAGGAAGUCUAAUUUUCCUAGAGAUUCAAAUAAUAGAUUUCGAGGAAUUUGGAUGGCUAGAUUUUGAAAAAGGAUUUGAAUAAUUUGAAUUUGAAGGAAAAUUGACUGAGAGAGAGUUUAGAAGGAAAUUAUAUUUGAAUAUAAUUUCCAAAAGAAAUAUUUCUCUAGUUGGUUUGAGUGCAAUGUUUUGGACAGGGAGUUUAUUUAAUGCACUCAAAUAGAAAUUCAAAAUAUUCAACACCAUAAAUAAUAUGGCUCUAGAUUUGAAUAUUUUUGAGUAUGUGGAGGGAAUAUGGUGGGAGUAGAGUAAAUAAAAUUUUAGCCCAAAAUAUGUGGUAUGAAAUUUAGAGAAUUAGAUAUGGGCUAAAUGAGGUUCUGGAUUUUGGACGGAGGGAUAAAGUCUAUUCUCUUAGCACAAGAGCAAUUAUUCAUAAUAUUUUUAAUAAUAUUAUUCGUGUGCCGAAGAGGAAAUCAAGCCACAGAGAUAAAAUUGGUGGUUAGAUCAAAAGGAGGAAUUUAGAUAGAAUCAAAGGAUGGGUUUAAGAUCAAAGGAUGGGCUAACAAUUAAUUCCAAUAAAAUUGGAAUUACUUUGGUUUAGGUUCUAGGACAAUAUGGGAAGGUUUCUUGGACCAUAAUUCAUAAUAGUAAAAAGGGUUUUUCACACUAAAUUUAAAUAAAGGAAGUUUUAGACGAAAGAAGGUUUUAGAUUAAAACCAAAUCAAGGAAUAUUUCAAGAUAAAUUUUAAAUGAAAAUCACAAGGGCUUUUGAAUAUCAAAGAGGAAUUUUAUGCAGGUUAGCUUUGGGAGGUCUCGCUAAUUAUAUUUUCCUAGGUUUAGGAAGUUAUUAAGAACAUAAGACCUGGCAUGAUGCAAGAUAAGAAAAUAGCUAAUUUUCGGUAUGUUACACCAUCCAUCUGCCAUGUGCGCGGAAAUCUCAGCUGGCAUGGUAUAGCACCGGUCCAGUUCACCGCACUGUGAGAGGCCUAAGUGGUCUCGUCUCUAUCCUUAUCCACGGAGACAGGUCUGGGAGGCCCGCACGGAUAGAUGCCACGACGAUGCAGGCAAUCGGAUGGCUCCAAAACGCGUCGCGAUAGAGCGAAACCGAGAGCGCUCUCGGUUUAGAUUUUGUGUAAUCAAAAACCUUUUUCACUAGAGGUCGGCGGGGGCAAGGUGAAGGUCGUCCGCAGCAGCAGCAAAGCGACGAGCGCGGUGGUGGCAGAACCAACAAGCGGGUGGCUGGAAGGUGUGUGUGUGAGAGAGAGAGAGGGAUCACGGAAGAGAAGAGGGGGGGGGGGAGAGGUGAGGAAGAGAAUAGGAUGAGGUGGGACGCUCUUGAUAAGUGGGGCUCUUGACGAGGGAUAAAACCGCCUCCAAAACUGUUCGGGGAGUCGAUUUGCAACGGUUUUAGGAGUUGGGGGGACAUGUUAUGCCCAGUUUUGUGGUUAAUGGAUGCGAUUCAACUAGGGGCAUGAGUUGAGGUAAGCAAAAUAGACUUAUUCCUUAUUCCUCUCAUCUCAUGAUUCAUGAAACAGAACGAAUUUGGGCCCAUCUACGGCCCAUACAUCCAACCUCUCCCUUCCUUCCUCUCCUAUAUCUAUAUCGAUCGAUCGAUCUCCACGGUGGCGGCUGGCUGGUCGGCGGACCCCAACGCGAGGGUGACGGCGGCGGCGGCGGAGGAGGAGGACGAGGAAGAGGAGGAGGAGAGGAGGUAGGAGGCUUUUGCUAUCUGCUAAUUCCUUCCUUCCUUUCUUCCAAUCUGAUUCAGUCCGAUCUAUUUCAAUUUUAUGGACUAGGGUUUGGGACUGAAUCCGCGCGUACCAUGGCGGAGCAGCAAGAGGACAGCUUUGAUCUUCCAUUGUUUGUGGAGGAGGAAGAUGAAGCAGGAGCGGCGGCGAAGCAGAGGCGGCGGGAGCAGAGCCAGAAGCCCCGGCGGCCUCGGGCGCCGUCGUUUCUGGACACGCCGGAGGUGAAGGAGAGGCGGGCGAGGAGCAGUGCUUUGGCGGCCAAGUAUUGGGAGCACGACCCCAAGACAGGAAUCAGCUACUACACCCGCGCCUGCUUCCGCGACCUCACCACCUUCGACCUCGACAAGGAGAGUAUGUAUACACCUCAACAAUAGUACCUAAUAACACAUUACUUCUAAGACUGUGGAUGAGGAUGAGCAUUCUAUAUUUAUUCAAAUUCUAGUCUAUAUUUAUUCAAAUUCUAGUCUAUAUUUAUUCAAAUUCUAGUAAAAGGUACUCCCUAUGUGGGCUACUGAUCUGUCGCCAUCAAAUUGUUCGCAGCUCUGAACCAUGUAAUUGCGAAAUCCAAUCAAACAUGCAGAGUGAAUGGCAGGCCAAUAAUUUUAAGUACAAAACAAUGCAACAACAAGCACAGAAACAGUGGCAUUCAUUAAGUGAUAAACAUUUUGUUCAACAAUCAAAGAUUAGACAAAUAUACCCUUAUCAUUCAAACCCUAUCAUGUCUCUGUUUGCUUGGGAGCUGUUGUUAGUGGCAUUAAGAUUAACUAGAUGGAAUCCUCACUAACUGGGGAAAUUUGAUUGUUCCACUCUUCACAGUGGUUCUUAAUCGUUUCCAGCUCCUUAUAUUUCAAUUGAUCACUUGCCACUCUGCCCACAAUGCAGUUGACUAUUUGCCACUUCUGGUCUGAAAUGGCCAUCUAUCCCCAUUCUUCCUCCCCUUCACCUCACCUCCCAUGCAGCAAUGGUGACAGUGAGCUUAAACUGCAAUGGUGACUGAGAAGAAGGAAUUUGAUUCGGUGGCACAAUUUCACCAUUUUCGGCUUCGGUAGUCAGUGGUAGUACCACCACCAGCAGCCAUGGACCAAUCCACCUGCUCAUUUCUAGGGGCCUUCUUUUCACAGUGAUUGCGAAUAAGCAGUGAAUUGUAUUUUUCCUUGAGGACCUUGCACUGGAGGGCCUAGACGCUGGUAGUGAGCUCUAGAUGCAGGUGCAGAGGCCUGAAAUGUUGAGUGCUCGAUCCAGGGUGGAGGAUGAGGAGGAACAUCACGGUGCUGUUGUCUGCCCACGCAUGCUACAGCUAGGGACACUAUGUCAGGGAUGAUGGGGAAUACUGGGAAGAGAUGUUGUAGUUUGCCACAGGUGGAUGAGAUGAGAUGCAAAUGAUCAAUUUUCUUGAUUGGAGGGCAGGUCAAAGUCAAACACAGUUAAGCUGUUAUAUGAUGAAUUAGAAAGCUCAUACUGUUUAGGCUUUGCUAAGAUAAGCAGGGAUUGGAAAGGAUUUAGUUCAGUUUCCUGACCAAUAUCAGAAUUUAACUUGCAUGCUGUAUGCUAUUGAACAUAUUCUCUCUCUCUCUCUCUCUCUCAGCCCAUAGAUCUCAUUGAGCAAAUGGACAGUUAUAUGGUUGGAAUUUGCUCAACAAUGGUUGAUUAAGAUUAGAAAUGGCCAAAUACUCUCUCAACUACAAUAAUUUGAUUUCUGAAACAGCUAAAAUAAUUUUCACUACGGUUGAUAUAUAUGCAGACGUAUGUCCUCUAGAGACUUUUGAACUCUAGAGUCUAGAGACAUUAUCUAGUGUAUACUUCUGUCGACAUACUAUUCUUCCCUGUUGCAAACUAACUCCAUUUUCGUUUUUCUCAGCGCAAUAUGGUCCAAUGCGCUUUACGGAUUCAAUUAUCAACAAGGACCACAUGUUGACUAGCUCGUUGAAUGUACUUUCUCUGAAGGUAAAAUCAUCAGAUGUUGGUUAUCCUAUCAAUCUAUAUGGGACUGUGAUAGUCAGAGAUGGAUUAGAUUUUAACUGCAUCUUCAUCUUCCGGCGCAAUAGGGACAAUUGCCAAGUUAUCCAGUCAGAGGUAUUGCUAAGUUCUCUUAAACACUACCAAUUUUCCCUAUUUCACAUGAUACAUUGAACUAAUUUCUUUACAGUUCUGUACAGUUAAAGGCAUACCAAAGCUAGCUACAUUUAAGUUGUCUAUAUGCAUCCACAGUACCCCUAGUUUCAUAUGAAAUACCAGUACUUAUUUUUAGUGGGCUUAAAUAUAACUAGGUAAUAUUAUGAGCCAUGUCAUUUAAAUAAUAACAUUAUAUUCUAUGGAUAAUGUCAUCACCUAUUUAUAUAUAUAGCAUUAGUGUGACUAGCUAACUUCUUGUGUAAUUUUUCUUGUAGAAUGAAAAUAUAAUUCUCACGGGCCCAACUAGAGGAAUUGUUUUCCAUGGUGAAAUCUUUUUUGAGAUAAAUUUGAAGAUUAAGGAAAAUGAAGAGUGCAAUGACAAAGAAUUUAGUAAAGGAUUGCUUGAGAUGAAGGUUUACACUCGUAAGUCUAUGAUUGUGAGUGAAACCUUGGAGAGUAGGCUCAGUGAGGUGGAGCUUGUAUCUGCUUCUGUUAAGGAAGCCUUGGAGGGCACUGUCGAGAUCAAUAUUCUGUCAGGGCCUGAAGUUUUUCAUGGAAAAAUUACUGCUUGCACAACAGAUGUUCCAAAUGAUAUUAUACUGUAUGAUAGUGAUGUUGAUGAUGCAACUACAGUGGGUGAUGACAGAGUUAUGCAACUGCUGCGACGUGUUGUAGUAGUAUCAGUAAAUGAGAUGUUGAUACUGAAUAUUGACGCCCAUAAUAUUCAUCCGAAUGAUAAUUUAUCCAGUCGCACUUUGAGGUUCACUCCAUUUACUAGAGGGUUGGAUGAGGAGGUGAUCAGCUGUGGUCUUUACAAGAUGCGGGUGAAAGUUGUUUGGUCAACCUUGAUGAUGGAUUAGAAUAUAUAGUUAAUUAAAUUCUCUACUGGGCAUCUUUUUACAGAUGAAUUAGAAUAUACUCUAUUGGGCCCUUGUUUUACAGAACUUGUAGCUAAUGCUAAACUUGGUGGUGUAAAUAAUCAACCUUUUAAACUAGAUAUUUUUAUCUUAAGAGAAGGAUUUUGGUAUGAAUUUGAAUGGAAGUUAUGAUUUAAAUUGGAUACUUGGACUUGGUAAAUUCGAAGGAACUUGUGGAAAGAUUUGAAGCUGAUAUCUUUUUUUUGAACAAAUUUGUAUUUUGAUCAAGAAAGAAUUUUGGAGUGAAAUAUGUAUGAUAUUUGGAUCUUUGAAUUCUUAAGGAUUGAUUAGCACCGAACUUUUCAUAGGUAAUUUUAGGAGGUUAUUUUCUUGAUUUUGAAUAUAAGAUUUUGGGAAGGAAUAUGGUACUAUUUGAAUAUCAUUUUGCACAGGUUUUGUUUGGGUAAUUUAUUCACUUUUAGCCAUACUAGUAAUGUGUCCUUGCAUUGUAAUGCCGCUCGCCCUUCCUCCUACACAUAUGAUAUGGCUGUGAACCUUUGCCUACAGGCGACGUGUGUGCCCGUUUCUAGUAGUGCAACAGCAAAACAAAGACAAGAUAAUCUGAAAAUUCACAGAAGAUGGGAGUCUUCCCAGUGGCCUCGGCAAUGUCGCAUAUGAGAUGUUCUUCAUCACACACACCAAAUGGAACUGUGCUACUCUGCUGUGGGAUACAAGAGCCCCCUCUAGAAUCAAAUUCUUCUUGUGGUUGGCAUUGAAAGAAAGAUUUUUCACGGUCGAUAACUUUCAGACCACAGGAUGGCCGCAUCAGAGCAACUGCUCCCUAUGUGCAUCAGAGGAUAAGGGGACUACCGGACUAGGAGUGUUUGGGAGGAUCUGCUACUGAUUUCCAGGAUGAGCAUAGUUGAUUUUUUUUUUCAUUCCAAUGUCUGAUAGUAUGUCCUUGGCUAAAACUUUCUUUAUGUUCGGUAAAUAUCAGACUCGUGCAUUCAGUUAUUACCGAGAUUACUUUGUCAUGGGAGUUUUCAAGUUGCAUCGACUCAUUGCAAUUGCAGCAAAACAAACUAGAGUUUGUUGUUAGCCUAUUACCAAUCGGUAGCAAUACAUUUUUACCUUUGUCAUAUGAUAGGUGAUAACCUAUUUUCUUUAAAGAAAUAUUGCAUGGAAGGCACUCAGACAGAUUAUUUUGUUGGGAAAAAAAUCGCAUUAGCUGCAGCCUAUUACUAAUGUAUUAUUGAUUGUUUUUGUGUUGCUCUGAGAAAAAAACCAAUUCCAUAUCCAUAAGGGACGAUGCUCUUGGUAUUGGAGCUUUUCUUGCAAUCAGCAGACAUAUGGAAGUUACAAAUAAACCAAAGUUAAAUUCAUAAUUUUGUUGAGCAAAUGUCCAAGAAAGAAAAUCACUUUAGGUUUCUAUAUUAUUACAAGAAAUUUCUAAAUUUUGAGGCACUGUGAAUAAUAUCAAGUUUUUAGUUAUGUGUACGUUGUAUUUGUCACCGUAGGAAUAUUUGAGGGGCAAUAUAUUUGUCAAGCUUAAAUAUUGAAUUUCAAUCCAUGUGCACUGGCUUCAAGGUAAACAUGAUUUAAGUUAUACAAUACAACUCUGUUAAUUAGUGUGAAAUCACAUCACUCAUGUUCUUUUGGGAUUAUUGGGAUCAAUUGUUUCCAGUGUGCAAGGCCUGCAAGCUAUGGUGCUUUAGGGUGCUGAGAUAUUGCACACCCCAUGAUAAUUUUCCUUCUUUCACACCCCAUGUUAUUAUGCCUGGACUUGCAUGAACACUGGAAGGCUGUCGUGUAAGGCCAUGUUGGUGCUCUGGAUUUUUACAAUUUAGUCUUUUUGAAAAACUUAUCCUAAAAUGAUCCUUUUUGGGCGCCAGAGUCGCUGGCGCCGUCGUCCAACGGAAUGGUGGUGCUGAGGUGGCAGGGGGAGCGCGCCAAUGUGGCUAGCGCCCCCCACAUUUUUUCCUCUCCUCUCUAGUGUAGAGGAGAGAGAGAGGUGCAACUUUUUGUUUUUUUUUACUUUUUUAUAUUUUUUCACACUUAUGAGCAUAAAAGAACCAACCAUAGAAAAAAAACUCAAAUGGACGAAACACAAUCUUGCACGCGGAAUUUAGAGAUUCUAAUUUUGUCGAACCCAGUAAAGCCAAGGAGAAUUGAAUGUAACUUUUUUCGUAGAUGUCCGUAGAUAUAUUAUUUGUCUGAUUCCGAGUCCGUAUGAGAAAGUUACGCCUGUUUUAAGAAAUGACACCCGCAUGUAAAAAAACAUAAACCCUAACUUUUUUUAUAGGAUGUAAAAGAUAUUAAAAAAAAGCUAAGAGUGUUCGAAAUCUAAUCUACUUUCUUUUGGGGGGACUAUAGGAAAAACCAAAACCAAAACAGGGAGAGAACGCCAUUUGAGUUUAGUUUUUCUACGGUUGGUUCUUAUGUGCUCCUAAGUGUAAAAAGAAUAUAAAAAAUAAAAAAAUAAGUUCCACAUUUCUCUCUCCUCUAUACUAGAGAGGAGAGGGAAAAAUAGGGGGGGGGGGGCACUCGCCAGCCACAUUGGCGCACUCCCCCGGCCACGGUGGCAGGAGGACGGCGCCAGCGACUCUGGCGUCCUUAAAAAGGACUAUUUCUGAGAUAAGUUUUUUCAGGGGUCUAUUUACGAAAUAAGUUUUUCAAAAAGGGCCAAAUUGUAAAAAAUCCAGUGUUGGUGCUAGCUCGGUCUUUCCAUAUGUUUUUAUUUUUGACAAAUACAUUUGAUAAUAAGAUGUUUGAAAUGAUCUACUCGGAAGGGCCAAUGGACUGGUGGAAGAAGAGAAGCAUCCUUUUCAAUUUGCCAUAUUGUGAGCAUUUUUAUUUUCAUCACAACCUUAACAUUAUAUCUAUUAUCUUGCAAAACAACAUUUUGUGUUGCACUUUCAGGUUGGUCAGAACAUGACACUAGUGGAGAAAUCAUCUUUACUCCCGGUUUAUAACCCCUCUAUAGUCCCAGUUUUCUAACCGAGAUUACGAAUCCGGUACUAAAGAUCGCUAUCUUUAGUCCCGGGUGAAAUAACCGGGAGUAAAGAUCGAUCUUUAGUCCCGGUUGGUGUUACCAACCCUCUCUUUAGUCCCGGUUACUGCUACCAACCGGGACUAAAGAGAGGAUAGGGGCAGUCCCGGUUAGUCCAUUUUCUUUUUAUUUUCUCCCAAAUCAAGUGGGAUGUAUAUACCCAGAUCAAACAACAAAUCUCUAAAUCGAGUGUCAUGCAUAUACCUAAAUCAAACCCCAAAUCCCCAAAUCAAAGUAACAUCACAAAUCAUUCACAUCACAAAUGCAAAUCCUAAGUUACUUACACACAAAUCAAAUACAUCACAAAUCUUAAAAAAAUUACACACAAAUCAAAUGUAUCACAGAUCAAUUAUACAUCUUAGAUCCAUGCAAUGAAUCACAAAUUCUAAAAAAGAAAUUAUACAUCUCUCAAUCACAAAUUAUAAAAAAAAUAGAGGAGAACCGGCGCGCUGCUGCCCCGUGCGCAGCCCCGCCACCCGCCGCGCGCUGUGCCUCGCCGUCCGGCCAUCGCGUGAGGGCGCGCUAGGCCGCCUCCGCCGCCGCCCGGCCGCCGCGUGAGGGCGCCUCCGCGCCGCCCGGCCGCCGCCGCCUAAGAAGUGGGGAGGAGAGGGGAGGGGGCAGAUCCAAAGGAGGUUGAGAAGUGGGGAGGAGAGGGAAGGGGGCAGAUCCAGAGGAGGUAGAGGAAGAGAUGGGAGGAGGAAGAGGAAGAGAUGGGGUGAGUGAGGAGAGGAGGAGAUAAAGAUCAGAACUUAUUAACUGAUCCACCCGUGCGCCUCAGUUCUCUCGAUCUCGCGUGGCGCAUGUCGAUCUUUUUUCCCGGUUGAUAACACCAACCGGGACUAAAAAUAGAUCUUUAGUCCCGGUUGGUGUCACCAACCGGGAAUAAAGAUAAAAGAGGGGUCUGACACCACCUGCCGUCUUUUGAACCGGGACUAAAAAUGAUCUUUAGUCUCAGUUGAUGUUACCAACCGGGACUAAAGAAUAUCUUUAGUCCCGGUUUUUAGUGGAACUGGGACUAUUGUGGAUUUCGGCCGACCGACCAAAGAUGGUUUCUCCACCAGUGUGACAAAUCAUUUCGCAUAUAGCUAUUUUCUCUCAUCAUCAACCUUCAAGUGAAGAAUAGAUGAAUUAAAUGGCAGUUGUUAUAUUUUAUGCUAAAUAGCAGUGACACAUGAUACAAGAUCCUAAGUUAAUUUAUUUAUUGAACCUACCAGGUGUUACAACAAUAUAUAUUGACGUAUUUUCAUUAAGAACAAAGCAAAUAUAUUAUUCAUCUAUUGUAAAUAUAUUGUUGUCAUUCUACUCAGGGAAUUUAAUUCCGAUAAAAAAAAUGAGGCUUUGUUUCUUCUCCAUUGCAAUGAUUUAUUUCUUGCCAACAUGGAUUCCAUGUGCACUAUUGUACCCCGAUUACAUGCUCUGAAGUGUGGUAUUUAUUUUUAUUUUCAACUUGAAUGGAAAUUAUAACAAAGCUUGAUUCCUAUCUAAAAUGAAAAUGUACUGCCUUAUUUGUGUAUUGAAUCCCGUAAAACCAAUAUUUUGCGGACACAUCUCAGUGGUUGUGUAAACUUUAUAGAGCGAUUUUACAGUACAUGAGGUUGAGGAGGUAUUAGGAGGUGUCAUAUAUUUUCUAAUAUAAAAUUUGAUACCUCUUACUACCUCCAGUACUACUGAGAGGUACCAAAUUUACACUAAAAAUUUGGGUACCUCUCAAGGGCUCUAAAAUUUCUCAACUUUAUAACUAUAUCUCGUACUGUGCUAAUUGCCAAAAUAUAUUUUGGACCACUGUCUUUUGGGUGUUUUGCUUGUAAUACCGGUUAUGGAUAAGGCAUACCCUCUAUCCUACGACUUAUGGAAUACACCGAUAAGGUAUACCUUCACGUAUACGGUUGGUUUCCGUAUACGUCGUUAGGAAUUCGCCUCAAAUUAUGGAAAAUAUCUCCACGAAGUUAAGGAAUUGCAGAAGUCCUACUCGGAAAGGGUAAAAUCUCCAGUAUAUCGUGUCGGUUUACAUAUCUUCAAGUCUUACUUGAGGGUCAAGGUAUCCCACGAUAUAAAAGGGACCCCUAGGGAGAGUCAAAGGGCAUCGCAUCUCAUCGCCAACACUCCCACCAAAGUUUAUGAAGCCGGAGUCCCCGGAGCCAACUCGCUGGGAGAUCUCGUCGAAUUCCUCGACUACGGUCUCAUCGGCAUCGCCAAUUCGGUUACUCUCUUUGUAAUCUGUUCUCAUCAUCAUUGAUCCCAUAUAAACUGGACUAGGGCUAUUACCUGAUAAGGGGCCUGAACCAGUAUAAUCCUUGUCUUUUGUCUGUUUUGAUGUCGUACUACGUAGAUCCCUGUUCCAACGUACCCCAAUACCCUAUUCUUCCGGUCCGCGAGUAUCACUCGUGACAGUGGAGCGCUAGGUAGGGGGACUUGGUGCUCAAGGAUCCACCAGUAUGACUUCAAGACUCCCCGACAAUAGCCUCGUUACCAGCGCCAAUCAAGGAGUUUCUACCUCGACACCGCUGGUGUGGACUCAAGUCGGAUCUAUUGUCGUUCCGAUCUACAUCGUUACACCAAUCUCGACUGGCCCAAUCGUCAUCGGGAACGAGAAAGGUACGGCUACGACUGAGAGAAACAAUGCCCCGCCGACAAUUCCUCCCACUCCGGUGGAGAAUGGAACAUCGACAGCCCCAACACCUGGGAGGAACCCUCAAGCGGCUGAGUUUCACCCCUCGUGUGAAAAAUCGAAGCCGACAAGGACAACCACCCUGAAACCGAGAACUUGGUGUCCCAUACAUAAGACAACCAAGCAUGCUCUCGAGGACUGCCCGGUGAUACUCCACGUGCAAGCUGAACUCUACGCCUGUUGGGAACGGGGGAUACAACGCACUUCACCAACGAGUACCACCUACUGUCCGAUCCACAGAUCUAGAGUGCAUGAUCUCACCAACUGCAGGGUCUUCCUCAGGACCCUCAAACCAGCGCAUCAUCGCGUCCAGCGGCCACGAAUUCAAACUCCGUGUGUUGCCAAGGAACCAGAUGCGGCUCCGGUCCUGGAUCGGUUUGUUGGAUUUGUCGACGCAAACAAGCCAUCCGUGUUACACCUCUUAGAAGGCUACGAGUCCUCCUCGCAGUCGCCUAGAGAUGUAAACGUGGUUGACAACACUGAGACGAGCUCGUCCGCCGCUGCGAGAACACCAGCUCAUCAGUUGCGGAACCUGGACGCGAUAUUGAGGGAAGGCCCUUUUGAUCCGGUAACAAACCUAGACACCAGCAGAUGGGCAGAGUGGCUACGUGAGACCGUGACCAACCUCAACACCGCGUUUGCUGAAGCCGCAGGUGGCCCAGAGCCGAACAGAGAUAGAGAGCGACUUACCGGAGAUGCAGAGGAUGAAAACCCCGACGGAAGGCCUACCGGCAACCGCUCCCCUCCAAGACGUGACCCUACACCACCGCACUGUGAAGAUGGCGACCUUCGCGAACAUCUAAACGGACGUCGGCGUAACAGGAGGGAACGCAACGAGAACGAGCGCCGCCAACAUCGUUCUCCUCAUCGUGAGGAUGGCAAUCCGCACCGACAGCAUCGUCCUCACUCCCCAUCUUAACGAGAGCGGGACGAUGGCCGAAGGAACAUCUCCAACAGGAAUCGUGAUCGUCGAACUCGUGACGACCGACGCGAUGACAACGACCGGGAUCGGGACAACUGUCCCCGGAGACAAGAAAGGAAUAACGACGAAUGACGAGAUCGAAACUCCAAAUCUCCUCAUCCGAGUCGAGAUCGUGGACGUGAUCAUCGUUCGAGAAGUCGGGCUCCUGAUCCAAGCGAUCCCUCAUCUUCGUCUUCAUCGUCCUCUUCGGAUCGACCUCCACAAAGGCAUCGCGAUCGUGGGCCAUGCCCUGUCCCAGGCAAUGGAUGCAGGGCAUUCACACCCGCACUUCACAACGUGCGGUGGCCCGAGAAGUUCUGACCGGGAUCGAUCGGGAAAUAUGAUGGAAGUACAGACCCAGAAGAAUUUCUGCAAGUCUACUCCACAGUUUUCUAUGCCGCUGGCGCAGACGACAACGUCCUGGCAAAUUAUUUGCCGGCCGCGCUGAAAGGCUCUGCCCGGUCAUGGUUUGUCACGCCCAGAAAUUAAGCCCUAAAUUUUUAGACUAUUUUGUGUAUUAAAUCCCUAUCCAGGACUAGCCAGGGUACACAAAACGACAAGUAAUAUACAGUUCCAAACGUAAAUAAAGCAUAAAAUACUUACAGAAUAGGCUCUUAGUCCUCACACUGAAAAGAAAGCAGCAGCAGCGGAAAAGGCGAUCCUAGAGGGGCUUCAGCUCCACUCCACAGGCAAAACUCAACUGGUGUCUGAGCCUUGAUCCUCUAACUUUGUCUUCAGCUCAGAAGCACUACACUUCUGAAAAGGGAGAACAAUAGCAAGGCUGAGUACAACCACCAUACUCAGCAAGCCACACCAACGAUGCAGAUGUGCAAGGGGAUUCAAGAAUGGCUUGUGGCUAUUUGCAGAAAGGUUGUUGUAAAACAUUUUAUUGAGCAAAACGGUAGAACUGUUGAGUAAUUAAGGUAAUAUUAAAUCUCCACUGAUCAACGCUACACUACGUUGAGCAGGCCCAACCAAUCCACCUGAACUACAGUGCAUUGGGCCGAUUUAUUAAGUGUGAGACUAAUCACGGUGAAUCCGGUCGAUCGCCCAUAACUGCGGCCAUGGCUAUUCGAAUAGUUUUACUCUAGCCAUAGGUGCACAACUGUACCCACAAGACACAAUCCACCGGCAUGUCACCGUGCCUGUGCAGGCACGUCACCAUGUCGAGUGAUUAUGACCAGACUCUCCGCAUAACUCUCCCCUAACCAUCCACACCACGCUAAGCUUUCACCCCCACCCCCUACCCCGGAGGUGGGCAGUCCCCUCGUGCGCCGCGGUGAGUCCGGCAGCUGGACAACCGGACACCCCGACCGACCCAACUCCAUCAUGCCCACCCUCACCACCGGUGCCUAGGAAAGGGUCGAGCUAUACUUCAAAUCAAGCAGUUACCCACUCCCGCUUGUGGUAAGCACUAUAAGUCUUGCAGGGUUUCUCGUGAACCGGUCCUUAAUUGCCAUGGGUGCGACCCGCAAAACCAUGCACCCAUAGCCCACCAUUCAGUCGCAUUUUAGUUGGAUAAUUAUGACCACGAAACAUGGCCAGAUGUCUCGAGCACGCAGCUCAUCAAGAUACUAGAAGGUCUAAUACUGCAAUUAUCCCAUCAACUGAGCUAGCGUUAAUUAAGCAUGGCUAAGCAAAUAAUUCUAGCUAGGUCACAUAAGUAACACGAGCUAGUCGAUUUAUCACCCAAGGUUGACAAAGGACAGAUAUCAAGUAAAUAUGGCACAAGCGAGCAGAUAGGUAAUACCCGGAUCGCAUGUAAUUAGCAAAACAUGCAUAUUUAUUUGCAAACGGUAAAACAUUUGUAAAAUAGGCUCAAUAUGCUCAAGGGGAAUGUGUGACGCCUUGCUUCUUCAAACAAUCUUCCGAACUCUUUUCCUUGCGACCGCGAUCUUCCAAAAUGGCGGAAACUACACACUGGCACGCAAAAUGAGGAAAAACUCUAAUAAAACCAAAGAAACAGUACAUAAAAAUUAAAUAAAUAUGUAGAUCUCAAUUUUAGAUGAAUUUUGCAAGUUGAAUGGCCCAAUUUGGAGUUCGAAUGAGUUAGAUAUGAAUUUUAUAAGUUUUGAGCCAUUAAAUGAAUUUCUAGAAUUAUUAAUGAUUUAUUGCGCAAUUAUUAAUUGUUUUCUCAAGGGAUAAGAUCAUCGCUGAUGUCAUCAAAGGGGGGAGGCUGGCGCCGACACGCGGGCCCCACACGUCAGCGGCUCCAAAGGGAGGACACACGGUGGACUCGGUCCACCGCGGCCUGGGCGGCACCGUGGACCCGGACCACGGGAGUGGUCCACGGGCGGCGACACAGAGCGGCCAGGGGCGGCGGCGGCUCACGACCGGAUGUGGCCUCUGGCGACAACACCGGCGACAUGACGCGACGCGGUGGCGGGCAUGGGAGGCUGCCGCCGAAGGAGAGAAAGGGGAGAUGGAGGGGACUGCUCACCAUGCGUCGGGGCGGCGGGGGCAACGGGCGGCGGCGGCGCUCCCUCGGGAAAGGUGGUAGCGGAGGUCCGACGGCGACCCAUGAGCACGAAGCGGCGGACGGCGGCCGGGAUUCCCUGGGGAAGAAGAUAGAAGGGUUAGGGAGGAACAUAGGUGAUCGGAGCGGUGAGAAUACCACGCCGGAUAGGAGAGGAAUGGUGGAGCUCACCGGCGACCGAGAGAUGCCGAGCUUCGGUGUGAUUUCGGUGGCUUGGAACGGCAGCCGAGGUGCGGUGGGGCGUGGCAGCGCUGUGGGUGGCGGCGGCAUGGCCGGGCAAGGCGACGCUCGCCGGCGGGAGGCGGCAGUGGCUCGGGUUGGUGGUGGCGACGGGGUUUUGGCGGUGGUUUGGGGAGGGGAAGUGGUGGCCGGGCUUUGGCUCGGCGCAGAGGAGCCAGUGGUGGCAGUGGCGCGGUGCGGCGGUGGCUAUGGCGGCGGUAGCGCGCGGCUAGAGUUCGCCGGAAAGUAGCAGAAGUGGGGGACGGUGUGGGAAGAGCGAGGGAGGCGAUGGGAAGCUCGGGGGUGGAGAGGAAACGGUAGAGGAGAGCCGGACGAUGCUUUAUAUGGGCGUGGGGGAGGGAAAUUGUGGCCGAGAGGGCGGAAUCGGGUGGCAACGGCCGGCGACAUGGGCGACAUCAUGGGCGAAGUGGAGCUCGAACCCGACACGAUUUUUGGGGGAAAUGUGGGGAGAGUGCAGAGGAGGUGGAGGGGAACCAAUUUCAUGCAGUUUGGGCGCGAGGACGCGAGCGGGAGUACAAAGGCGCGUCAUGGCGGCUUUGGUUCUGGACGCCGAAGAUAGAAGGAGGAGCUGACAGGUGGGGUCGCCAGGCCCACCUGUCGGCGAGGGAGGGAGGAGGUGAUGGUUGAGGGAGGCGAAGUGAACUUUGCAAGGGGACGGGCCUUGGGGGCCAAGAAGGGAGGAGAGAGGAGGGAGGCCGGCCUGAGGGGGAGGAAACUUGGGCCGGAAACGGCCCAAAGCAAAGAAUGAGGAUUUUAAUUCGUUUUCUUUUUUAUUUAAUUGGUUUAAUGAACUUUGUAUUAUUAUAAUUACUUCUUGAGCUCCGAAAAUUCACGGGAAAAUUUCAGAGAAUAUUUUAGGGCGCAAAGAAUAUUACAAAAUAUUCCCGGCCAUGAUUUUUAAAGGAAAUUUUUAAUUCCCUCAAUAAUUUCACUUGAUUAAAUUGCUUUAACUUUUAUUUAAUUUCUAGAAAAGCAUUAUUAAAUGAUUUUUAAUCCCGAACGAAAAUCAGGGCAUUACAUGGUUCGUCCAUCUCCCGCCAAACUCAAUCUGUUCAUGGGAAGAUUUAUGGCAGCAAUUCGUCGCCAACUUCCAAGGGACUUACAAGCGCCACGCGAUCGAGGACGACCUACAUGCACUAACCCAGAACCCAGGCGAAUCAUUGCGGGACUAUAUUCUGCGCUUCAAUGAGUGCAGAAAUACGAUCCUCGAGAUCACCGACGCUUCUGUCAUUCGAGCAUUCAAGUCUGGCGUCCGAGAUCGGUACACCACCCAAGAGUUGGCAACGCGCCGGAUCACAUCCACGCAGACGACACUCUGAGACGCAAGGAGGGAAAGAGCAAAGCGGGAGACGAGAAGAAGAAGUCGACUGAUAAAGACGCACCAGAGUCAAGCAAGAAGAGAAGUCGCAAAAGCGGGAAGCGCAAGUCUUCUGGAGAGGUCCUUGCCGCAGAGCAAGUAGAACCGUCCAGGCGCUCCAACCCUCAGGGCGACGACUCUCGCAAGCCAUGGUGCCCAAUCCACAUGACAAGCAAUCACGCCUUGGAAGAUUGCUACGUCAUCAAAAAGGAGCUCACGAAACAACUAGCAAUCGAAAGAGGAAAGCGAGUACGGAGACUGCAAAAGAAGCCACCACCGACAACUCUAACUCCGCCUUCCCGGAGUAUGAUUUGCAUGUUUCCCACAUCUUCGGUGGAUCCACUUUGUACACCUCUAAGAGGGAGUACAAGAAAGCGGAACGCGAAGUUUGCUCCACUUCACAGGCGACUACCACCAAGAUGAAGUGGUCGCAGCACAAGAUCGAGUUCUCGGAAGCCGACCACCCCAAGACCGUGACUUGUCACGCCCGGAAUUUCUAUCCAAAAUUCCAAACGCUUACAUGUGCGUUAAAUCCUCGUCCAGGAAUCAGCCGAGGCACACAAUAACAAAUUGAUAAUAGAGUACUAUCAAACAACUAAUUAAUAUUCGCAAAAUGAAUAAUUAUUACAGAGGUGGAUAGUUCCUCUCAGAAGAAUAAAAUUCUACGCAGCGGAAAUAAAAACAAAAGACUAAACAGCUAUGGCGACUCCACUCCACAAGCAACUUGACCCGAACAAAGCCUAAUCCUCCUGAUCAUCACCUUCACGGAAGUACUCCUCCUCUGAUGAAUGAAUAUUGCAAGAAUGAGCAUAUGACAUACUCAACAAGCCACACAGCAAAUAUGCAAGUGCACAGGAUAACAAAGGAUGGCAUAAUAAAGCUUAUUUGCAUAAACAACAUUUAAUAAACAUUUGAGAAAAUAGUAAAAUAGUUAAGCAAUUAAGCAAUAUUAAAUAAACACUAUACAACACACCCGUGUUGCGUAGGCCCAACCACAACUGAACAACCAACCCCGGUUGUACAAAUCAAACCUCCAUACCAGGAAUAUACCAUUCCAAACCAGGAGUCAAUUUAAUUAUCACAAUAUUAUCAUUAAUAAUGAGUAAUGUGAGACUAAUCACGAAAAACAUUGUUAAACCCAGCCAUAACCGCGGGCACGACUAUUCGAAUAGUUUUACUCUGGCCAGAGAUGUACCACUGUACCCACAAGACACAGUUCCACAACACGUCACCAUGCGCCUCAGUACCACCACAAUACCUUGCAAAGGAACUGUGACAAUACCUCUCAAACAACACAACUCACCACAGUGCACCAUUCCUGGAUCAUAAUCUCCCCCUCAAAACCAGAGGCAUGGACUCCCCAGCGACCCCCACGGACUUCUCGCCGCUUCACAGUCUGGCACCCCGUAAUGAAUCAUGCUAUACAAAAGAUAAAGCCGUUGCCCACGCUGGCUUGUGGUUGGCACAGUAAAUGUUUCACAACAGUAGCUCGUGAACCGGUCCUUAAUUGUCAUGAGCAUGACCAUCACAACCAUGUGCUCACAACCCACCUUUAAUCAGGUUUUAUUUAUCAAUUAAUUAUCAUAACACGAUUAACCAUCGUGAGCUACCAUUAAUUAUAACCAUAAGUAAUAAUGUAAUAUGAUUCAUCCCAUUAAUGAGCUAAUGUUUCUAAGCAUGGCUAAGCAAUUAUGCCUAUAUAGCACUUAGCUGAACUAAACCAAUAUAUAAGGUCCAAGCUAAAUCAAUUUAUUACCCAUAGGAAAAUAAAGUCAUCUUCGGCCAUUAAUUAAUCGGGAAAGGCUCACCACUCGAUGACACUCGAAAAUAAUGCAUAAGUUGAAAUAAAACAUUAGCUUUAAACGGGUUCAACAUGCUCAAAGAGUUGUUUGGGAUCUGUGUGACUUGCCUUGAGCUUCUUCAAACCCUUCUGAACCUUCCUCAACGUAAACGCUCUCCUCUGGAACGUCGGAAACUAAAACAAAUGAACAAAAUCAACAAAACAGUACAAAAACAAGCAUAAACAGUACAUGUGGAUAUUUUUAACAUGUAGAUCUUGAUUCUAGAUGAAUUUAGCAACUUGAACCACUCGAAUCCGAGUUACGAUGAUUUAGUUAUGAAUUUUCUAAGUUUAAUUGAUUUUCAUCUAAUACAGAAAAUUAUCACGAAUUAAAUAAAUGAUUUAUGAUGUCACGAUGACAUCAUCACAGGCCAUGGCACGGGACGACGCGACCACCGGUGAUAGAGGGCUCGGCCGGGCUAUCCGAGAACACCUACGCGAAGAGGACGACGACGCGAACUCACCGGUGCAAGAAACUACGACGGACGACGACGUACGGCGGCCGGCGAUGAGCUCCGACGACGGCACGGCUUGGCUCGACGUCGACGGCAGCGCUCCGGCGGUCUCCAGUGGCUGCAAAGGGGCGGCCGAGGUGCUCCUCCUCCGCGCGAACCCAACGGCGGCAAUGGAAGGCGGCGGCGACAGCUACAGCAGCGGCGCGGCGCGGCUGGAAGGGCGUCGGCGACGGCGGCGACUAGGGCUACACGGCGGCGGCGCUACGGGCAACGGUAGAGUUCGGGACUUGAGGGGAAACGUAGAGGACAACUAGGGGAUGCUUUAUAUAGGCUUGGAUUAGAGAGAUCGGACUAUCCUAGGGUUAGUUUGGAGAGAUAAACUCGAAAACGAAUUUGAUUCUGAUGAAAUACAAAGCAAUUAGCUCCGAUUCUUGGGGGAAAUGAUGGAGGACAACAAAGGGAUAAAAACACCUCAACCAAUCGGACUUGGAGAUGGCCGGAGGCAGCGGAUUUGGAGGGGAGGCGGCGGCGCUCGGGCUCGGCUUGGCCAGCCGGAGGUGGAAGAUGACCCCGACAUGUGGGCCCCACAUGUCGGCGGAUUGAGAGGAGAGGGGCGGCGGCUCGGCUUGGGCCGGCGUGGGCCGCGCGUGGCUGGGAGGAGAGUUGGGCCGGAAACGGCCCAACGGCCUAGGGGAGGGUUUUAAAGACUUUUUCAAUUAAAAUAAUUCGUGAAAUGAUGUUUCAUUUAUUAAAAAUACUUUCCUUGCUCAAAUAAUUCCUAGAAAAAUCUAGAAAAUAGAUAAACAAGCAAAGUAUUUAAUGAAAUUUUAUCUAGCUCAAUUUUAUGUUGAAAUUUUUCCUAGAUUAUUAGAGUUUAACUUGUAGGCUUUUAAAAUAAUUUCUAAAAAUGCAUUAAAGAAUGAAUUAUUAAAUUAGGCGAUUUUCAGGGCGUGACACAACUACACCUGGCAGAUAUCCGAUUGUGUUGGAGCCCACUAUUCGGAACAUUAAGGUGGCAAGAGUUCUCAUCGACGGCGGGAGCUCGAUCAGUCUACUCUUCGCCAGCACUUUAGAUGCGAUGGGAAUACCUCGAAGCAACCUGACGCCCACAGAUCAACCCUUACACGGAAUUACCCUGGAAUCAUCGUCUAAACCGUUGGGAAAGAUCACGCUGCAUGUUACCUUCGGACACGCCGAGAACUUCUGAAUAGAGCAGAUCACCUUUGAUGUCGCGGAAUUCGACACCGCGUACAAUGCCAUCAUUGGGAGAACAGCACUCGCGAUGUUUAUGGCAGCCUCGGAUUAUGCAUACUAAGUGCUCAAAAUGCCAGGACCGAAAGGGACUGCCAGGACCGAAAGGGACAAUCAAUAUCCUGGGGAACGCCAAGUUGGUGGUGCAGUGCGACAAGCGGAGCCUCGACAUAGUCGAGCAUACUCCCAACCCACCCGCCACAACCGAGAACCCCAAGAAAGUGAGCAAAAUCAAGAAGACACCAAAACCAGAUGGCACCAUCAAGAUCAUCACGUUGUCCAGCGCCAACCCCGACAAAACCGUCAAGAUCGGGGCAUCACUGGAUGACAAAUAGGAACUCGCGCUCAUCACCUUCCUCCGAGACAAUGCGGACAUGUUCGCUUGGCAACCGUCAGACAUGCCGGGAGUACCCAGGGAGGUGAUUGAGCACAAACUAAUGGUGUGACCCAACGCCAAGCCAGUUAAGCAGAAACUGCGGUGAUUCGCACCCGAUCGAAAACAAGCCAUAUGAGAAGAGCUGGACAAACUUCUCAAAGCUGGCUUCAUAAGAGAAGUCAUCCAUCCAGAGUGGCUCGCAAAUCCAGUAAUGGUACGCAAAGCCAACAGGAAGUGGAGGUUGUGCGUCGACUUCACCGACCUCAACAAGGCGUGCCCCAAGGACCACUUCCCUCUUCCUCAAAUAGACCAAUUAGCGGACUCAAUGUCACGACCGGAAAUAACCCAACGGGCGUUCCUUACGUGCGUGCAUUAUUCCUUGUCCCAGGAGGCAAGGUACACCAAAAGUUGAUACAGUUCAGAGUUUAACAAGCGGAAGCGUAAAUAGAUAAUUUAUUACAUGGGCGGCGAAGGCCUAGCACACAUAAAGACAAACGGGAAACAGCGGAAGACUAGGGCGACGACCACAGACGCUUGACGGCAGGCACGAGCUAGACACCAAAGCCUUCAUCUUCCAGGGGCUCCUCUUCUGGGUUUGGGAAAAAUUGAGCAAGACUGAGUACAACCACCGUACUCAACAAGACACACCCACAAGUGCAGAAUAAAUGCGAGGGAGUACAAGGGAGUUAUAAUAUAAAGGGUUAGGGUUUGCAGUAAACAGCAUUAAAAGACACUUAGUUGCUCAAAGCUAUUUUGUAAACACGAUUCUAGAACUAUACAGUAUUAUUUAUCAAGGCCGUGAACCCACACGAACCUGCCUUACCCCAAGGCCUACGAUGAUUCAGACCGAACUGGCAACCCGACCCUGGGUCCCAGCUCGUCCCAAGCCAACCCAGGCCAACCAUUCCACAUUUUAGUUGUUAAGCAGGUUUUAAGGAUUAAAACACUAACUUGGGUACAUUGCUCAGCUUGCCCAUAACCGAGGGCGCGGCUAUUCGAAUAGAUUAUACUCUGAUCAGAGGUGUACAUCUUUACCCACAAGACACAUCUUCCUCACGUGUAACCACGUGCCACAUACCACCACGGUAUACGGACGGAAGACGUGACAUAGUUUCCAACCCAUCCUAGCCAUAGACAAGAGUACCGACCCAAUCCCACCUACGGCCGGAACCCCCGAGACAGGUAGGCAGGACUGAGCCCCUAGCAGCAGGACACCGGCCCUGUGCCAUGACAUCUCGACUACCAGGCCGCAGCUCGUGUAGCCUUCAUUUGCCCUGGAGAUGUCCAUCGACCCCCGACUUCGUCCAUCUCCAUCCGUGUACUUUUGUUUAUAACCAGACUGAGCCACAAACUAAGCCUUACCCACUAGACAUGUGGAAGUACGGUAGUGCUUUGCAACAGAGGCCCGAAGACCGGUCCUUAUAUGGCUGAGGUGCUACUAUCAAAACCAUGCACCCCGAGCCCAGCCUAAAACCAUUUUUGGGGAUUUUGAAUAGAGGGGGCGGUGUGAAUCCAAUUCCACAAUAAUUCAUCAAUUCCAUAGUGUCCGGGUGAUGAGAACAUUCCCAAAGUCUAGAGUUGUAAAAUCACCUAAUGUUACCUAAUUAAACAGCGAAGCAUCUACCUAAAAUCAUACUAGUGGUACCAUGAGUAGAGUGUCCACUAGUUGGGGUUUUGUUUAGUCUAGGGUGAACAAGGUAAUAAUAACAAUAACAAUAAUAAUAAGGUCAUAACAAAGGUAAAUAGGCAUGGCUAGAUAAAACGGUGAUAACGCGGGAAUUUAAAUAAAGAGAUAAUGCAAUAAUUUAAAGCAACAUAAUUUUAUAAACUGGGAUUCAAUAUGUUCAAGGAUGAUGUGACUUGCCUUGCUCGCUUUCCCAAACGCCGGCUUCAACUUCCACGAAGAGUGGAUCUUCCGAAGCUGCAGCGUCUAGACGACCAACGGAAAAGAAAAGGCUUUUACUCUAAUAAACUCCAUAUAACCAGCAGGAACAAAGCACAAAAAUGGGUUCUUGACUUCUUAAGGAAAAAUUAGAGACUUGAACGGUCCAAUUCCGAGUUCAAAUGGCCAAGUUAUGGCCAUUUGAAGUUUAUAUGCUCUUUAAAUGAAUAUUUGCGAAUUUCUUCAUUUAAAUUUUAAUUUAAAAAUGGAUUUAUUGCGUCAGCCGAGGGGAGGGGCGCGCGGACCGGGUCCACGGGGGUGGGGCCCACGCGGCAGCCCCACGGUCCACGGUGGACCGGGCGCACCCGGGCUCACACCGGCCGGCGCCGUGGGUCCCACGCGUCAGCCGCACCUAAGGGCGCGGGCGGCUGACAGCCGGGCCCCACGCGGCAGCCGCUCGGUGCGCCCGAAGGCGACCACGCCGGCGCUGCGGCGGGAGGCGGCGCGCCCGCGCCCCUAUGGUCGCCGGCGGCGGCCAUAGGCACGGCGGAGCGGCGGCCGAGAGAGGGGAGGGAAGGGGGGAAACGAAGCGGCGGUCCACGGCUCACCCCGGGUCGACGGCGACGACGGAAACGGCGACCGGAGCGGAGGGAGGCGGCGGCGCGGCUCGAGUCGACGGGGACGGCGGCGUUCCGGUGGUCGGCGAGUGAAACAGAGGGGUGGACGAGGUCGGCGAGGAUGCGGCGAAGCCGAAGGAGGCGGCGCCGAAGCGGGAGGUGGUCCGGGGCGACGACGGCGGCGGACCGGAGCUCGGCGGUGACGGCGGAGAGAGAGAGCGACGGCGCGAGCUCGAUUCCGGCGGGGAGUGAGGGCGGCGAGUGGCGGAAACGGUGGAGGGAGGCACGGGGAGGGUUUAUAUAGGGUUGGGAGGGGGAGAGAGCGGCCGGACGAGGGGGAAACGGGCGUGGAAGAUCCGGCCGCCAUUGAUGGCGCCGGCGAGGUGAGGGGAGAGGUUUCCAAACGAAUCCGAGGGAGAGAGGGAGGGAAAAAUGGGGGGAAAGAGGGAGGGAAUCACGGGGAAUAUUUCCCCCCACUUUAUUGCGCGCGUGGACGGCGGGAGGCGGCGGGAUUCGCGGCGGCGGUGGCGCUAGGGCACGGGCGAGGCGGCGGGAGCGGCGGGAGGAAGGGGAUGACGUGUGGGCCCCACCCGUCAGCGAGGGAGGCGGGCGGGCCCGCCCGUCAGCGGCGCGCGCGCGGGGAGAGGCCGGAUGGGCCACGGGGAGAGGAGAGGGAGGGGGAGGGAGCUGGGCCGGACCGGCCCAAGAGGGAGAGGGGGAGGGAAAGGGAACUUUUUAGGGUUUUUCUUUUAUAAAAUCAUUUUAACUUUGUUUAUUUCUUAAUAAUUAUUAUUUGUGCUCUGAAAAUUCCACUAAAAUUUAUUUACGCAUUUUAGGCUUUUAGGAAAUAUACAAAAAUCCUCCAAGCCUUAUUUGACUUUUAACUUUGCACAUUUUAAUUGUUGGAGGCUUUCACACGGAUUUUAAUUAUUCUAGGCAUAAUUUCGAGGAUGUAUUUUAGAGUCGUUUUGGGACGCGACACUCAAUGGCUGGCUGUGAGUUGUUAAGUUUCCUUGACGCUUACUCCGGCUACCACCAAAUCAGCAUGGCAAAAGAGGACGAAGAGAAGACAGCGUUCAUCACGCCUUUCGGUGCAACACAUAUCAGCGCGGCAUCUAGGGAGCACUUGGUACUCAGCUUGGACAAAAGUCAAGGUGUACGUGGCCGACAUCGUCAUCAAAACCAAGAAAAGCGACUCAUUGAUCGACGACCUCAGGGAAACGUUAAACAACCUCUGAAGAUAUCAAAUGAAGCUGAACCCGGAGAAGUGCACGUUCGGAGUACCGUCAGGGAAGCUGCUCGGUUUCUUGGUUUCAGGUCGAGGAAUCGAGGCAAACCCCGAGAAGAUCAAGGCAAUCGAGAACAUGAAGUCGCUACAAGGCUUAAGGAGGUCUAGCGGCUAACAGGAUGUAUGGCUUAAUUGAGCCGAUUCGUCGCAAAGAUGGGAGAAUGAGGACAACCCUUCUUCGCCCUGCUCAAGAAGCAAGACAAGUUCGAGUGGAACCAAGAAGCCAAGAACGCAUUUAUCGCGCUCAAGCGCUACUUGUCAAAUCCUCCCGUACUCGUUGCUCCUCAAAUCAAUGAAGAAUUAUUCCUGUAUAUUGCUGCCACGCCUUAUUCUGUGGGUACAGUUAUCAUCGUAGAAAGGGAAAAAGUACAACAUCCCGCGUACUACGUAAGCGAGGCCCUCCACGACGCAAAAACUAGAUACCCACAGAUCCAAAAACUGCUCUACACCGUUGUCAUGACAUCGAGAAAGCUACGCCACUACUUCCAGGCUCAUAAGGUCACCGUCAUCUCCUCCUUCCCUUUGGGUGAAGUUGUCAGGAAUAAAGAUGUGGUCGGCCGAAUCGCUAAAUGGGUAGUCGAGCUAAGCCAAUUUGACGUCCACUUUGUGCCAAGAACAGCCAUCAAGUCACAGGUCUUCGCUGACUUCGUAGCCGUCUGGACUAUCCCAGAGGACAGACCAGCCGCCCAAACGAUCAACGAGACCUGGACCAUGGCAUUCAACGGAGCACUGAACAGCCAAGGAGCAGGCGCUGGAUUCAUCUUGACAUCGCCCACAGGAGAUCAGUUCAAGCAUGCAAUCCAUCUAAACUUCCAGGCAACAAACAACACGGCCGAGUACGAAGGACUACUCGUAGAGAUAAGAGCAGCAGUAGUACUUGGUGUCAAGCGACUAGUCGUGAAGGGAGACUCCGAGUUGGUCGCGAACCAAUUACACAAAGACUAUAAAUGCUCUAGCCCCGAAUUAGCCAAAUAUCUCACCGAAGUCAGAAAACUGGAACGCAAGUUCGACGGAAUCGAAGUUCGACACGUUUAUCGAAAAGACAAUGUCGAACCAGACGACCUUGCACGACGUGCUUCCAGACGAGAACCUCUCGAGCCCAGAACGUUCUUGGAUGUCCUGACGAAGCCAUCCGUCAAGGACACGCACGACGAUAGUACCACGGCUGAUACCAGCAACUCGCAGGGGCUGCAGAGGUACCUGAUGUCGCUGCAAUCAUAGAGACGACAGACGACUGGUGUACUCCGCUAAUCAAAUUCUUGGAGUCAGACGAGCUGCCGGAUGACGACACGGAGGCUGAGAAACUGUCCCGUCAGGCUAAGAUAUAUUGUAUGAUCGGCAACGAUCUAUACAAAAAGGCCCUGAACAGAGUUCUCCUCAAGUGCAUAUCAUCCGACGACGGACAAGCUCUUCUCCUCGACAUCCAUGAAGGCAUUUGCGGAUCUCACGUCGGUGCACGUACUCUGGUCGGAAAAGCUUUCAGGCAAGGUUUUUUCUGGCCAACCGCUCUUAAAGACGCAUGUGAAAUAGUGCAAUGAUGUGAAGCUUGCCAAUUCUUCAGCAAACACACCAAGUUGCCAGCACAAGCGCUCUAGACUAUCCCUUUGACAUGGCCAUUCUCGUGCUGGGGGCUCGACAUACUCGAGCCGUUCCCACGAGGACAAGGGGGCUACAAAUUUUUGUUCGUGGCAAUCGACAAAUUCACCAAGUGGAUUGAAGUAGAGCCGACAAGAGAAAUUAAAGCCGACAACGCCAUUAAAUUCAUCAAGGGGAUAUUCUGCAGAUAUGGGUUGCCUCACCACAUCCUUACAAACAAUGGAUCCCAGUUCACCAGCAGUGAUUUCCAAGAUUACAGCAUUGAACUCGGGGUCAAAAUCUGCUUCGCCUCAGUGUCACAUUCUCAGAGCAAUGGACAAGUCGAGCGGGCCAACGGAAUAGUACUACAAGGGAUUAAAACUCGCGUCCACAAUAGGCUCAUGGCCUAUGAUAAAAAGUGGGUCGAAGAACUUCCCUUAGUACUAUGGGCCGUACGAACCACGCCGACUACAUCCAACAAGGAAACACCCUUCUUUCUCGUAUACGGAUCUGAAGCCAUGCUCCCUAUGGAGUUACAACAUCAAAGCACACGCGUACAGAAGUAUACCGAUGAGGAACAGGACGAAAGGCGAAGCGACGAUGUGAAUCUUCUCGAGGAACAUCGCGAACGAGUUGCCGUCCGAGCAGCCGCAUUCCAACAGGCUCUUCGCCGAUAUCAUGAGAAGCGCAUCAGAGCUCGCACACUCUCCAUCGGCGACUACGUCCUCCGACGAGUUCAAAACUAGGCAGGGCGUAACAAACUCUCGCCUAAGUAGGAAGGACCAUACACGGUGGUUCGAGUACUGCGAUCGGGCAAGUUCAAAAUUGUAGAUGGCGAUGGCAGCGAGUUAUCCAACUCAUGGAACAUUGAUAAAUUACGUAAAUUUUAUGUAUAAAGUCAAUGUAUCCCAGACAUGUACAAAUCAAAUAUCCAAAGGUAUUUUGAUCUCCUUAUACACCAGUGUCCUUUUUCCAGAGAUCCCUUACCACGAUAACACCUACUCUUGAAAACGAACCUAUUGACCCUUUACGCCAUUUCGACAAGACCUCCGAGAAACCUACGGGAAUUUCGGCUGGGGACGCCCAGAGCAGAUAAGGGCUUGUCGGAUUCGAAGAGCCGAACGAACCAUGUAAGACCUGGUCAUGUAAGAGUGCUCAAAAGGUGUAUUAACUAAGCCGUGUAAUCGGAAAUUGGUUUUUCCAACUUCACGGCUGGGGGGCUAGGUAAAUUGCAAUUUCAGAUAGGCAAGUUACGGGCCAUCGAGCCUUCCCCUAUGAGAACAGACUUCUCCGAGGACAAGGCUGGGGGCUAGGGAGGGUACCUUACUCGACAACGGGCUAAAGACAGCCUGUAAAAAGAGUAGUACUCGCAUAUGACACGACCUAUUUACACCUUCAGUAGAUAGGUUCUUUAUGAUUACAAAACCCCUAACAAUAAUAUAUUACAAAAUUUCUGUCAGAUGUUUUUUACAAGGACUAAAAAUCUACCACGACGGCCAUUGCCAGUUCAUGGAAGCAAACACCUCCUCGGCUAGGGGCGCAAGCGAUCGCGCCGACCGGUCGACCUCAUGCGCCGACAACCGAGAACGUCGAAAACCCCCACGCAGGAACCCGAGAUCCAUUUGCGGACGAUGAUCUUGGACGCAAGCAAGGACGUGGCCCCUAGCGCAGCGCCUCGCACGACGACACUCCUCCUUGAGGCUGAUGUCGAUGCGCUGUCCUAUGUCCUCGAGUUGGGCACACGCCCCCGUCAUCUAAGACAAGUAGCCUGCCGUACUCUCCUCGGGCUUCGGGCGGUUGACCUUCAACUGACGACAGACAUCAGCCAUGGCACUACAGCAGCUCUUGAGGUAUGAGUUCACCCAGACCUCGCGACCACGAAGCACCUCCACGGCUUGGUCUUUUUUCACAACCAUGAGUGAUCGCUCAAGCUUGGCGACUUCAAACUUUGUCUUCCAGUAGUCGAUACGCCUAUCUCGCUCAGCGACGACACUAUCGAGGUCUACAGAGGGCAGAAGAUGUGACGGAUGCUACCUCCUAAACAAAAUCACAAGUUUAGGAGAGAGACUUCUAUAAAACAUCACACCUGAGCUCGCACGUGGGAACCCGACUUCACCGGCCUCAAGCAGGCAGCAAGUCGCGUCCAAUCCCCCAUCCUUGACGGCGUCGUCCGAGGAAGGCAGUCCAACCAUCUCGACAUGAGGAUGUCCGCCUUGCUGGACGUCCUCGGGAUCUACACAGCUACGGAAGGCAAAGGAACGCGACAAAUCAACACAUAAUUCAUGAAAGGAAGCUGCUGCAUCCAUAGAACAAUGGAAGUGUUUAUACAAAGACCAUAAUACAAGACAGAGAAAUUUACUCCUCAAAAAGGGGGAGGACACUCUCCCCGAGAUCCGAUACGCUCGCCAUCACGCUCUCCCGCGUAGUGUUAGCUGCCCCCUUCGCCAAGAUCUCCUUGAGGUCGACGUUAGGGAGAGCCAGCUUCACGCACGCGAGGACGUGACACGCCCCCGUGUGGAUCCCGUUAGAGAUCUCCUCGGCAACGUGAGCGGCGUGCCGUGACGGGAUGGUCUCCAUCUCAUCCGCGAGUUCCGACAAUGCCGACGUCAGUGACGUCUCAUUGGGGUGCGUUGGAAUAGAGGACUUCGCCCCGCACAACAACGCUAACUGGAGGGAAUCGUGGAGGGAAAAGAGGAUGUCCUACGUAUCAUUCAUCCUCUUCUCCAAACCUUGGCGCUGCAUCUCGUUGCUGGCCACGAUUUCCUUCAUCUUCUGAAGGUCCUCGUGGGCAACCACGAGUUGCGCCUCCAGCUGUGCCACCCUUCCGUCCGCCGCCGUCGCGCGAGCCUCCACACGGUCCAUUUGGGCCACCACCACCCGAGAACCCCUCUCGAGAAGGCGGUGGCACUCGGCCACCAUGUCAGACCAAGUGGUCAUCUUAGGUGGUGGCGCGGCCACAGGAGCAGCGGCACAUCCCACGGACUCCGCGACGAUGGGAGCAACCUCUACAUGAGGAGCGACAGCGACAGGGGACCCACUCAUCGCCGCCUCACUCCCACUCUGCGAGGAGACCACCGACGCUUUCCUACGAAGGCUAACAGACGUCAUUGAAGAUCGGGAAUGCGACAACAAGGUCGAUCAAGAAUUUCGCUUACCUCCCGGCGGGCAGCUUCAAUGUCCUCCUCUUCGGGGGAGGAGCCAGACUGCCCGUGUCCCACGUAAGACAGUAAAUCAUGACCCCAUUUUUGACAUCCUCGUAAAAGAAGUUAAAGGGCGAAGGCAGCACGCCUACCUCGGAACCAGCAGACUUCUACCGAGAACCAUUGGGGGCACUCGAUCUCGCCCACGGCUUACGCUUUGUCCCGCUGCCCCCAGCGAUGGUGGGAGCGGAGGAGAUCUUGGCGACUUCGUCGUCGACCUUCUCCUUUAGCGAAGCGGAGGCCCGGUGAUCGACAAGAGGACCGAUUACAUCCGUCAACGGCAGAAUCUGCAAGAGUUGAAGUCACUUUGGCCCUUCAAAGGAAUAAAAGAUAUAAGGUGUCCUGGUUCUCGCUUACAUUGAUGGCGGUAGCCUUCUCGGCUGCCGACUUGUCGCAAAGCGGGGCCGGCACCCCUUCCGCCGUGGAGGGCGCGCUGAUCAGGACCUCCUCGACUCGCUGCGCCACCGUAUCGUCAGGAAGAUCUGAAACAAACAAAGAUGGAAGGAAGCAUGGUUAGAUCUCGUCCACGGUUUCAACAUCAGGAGCGAAAAGAAAGUGCAACGCAAGGACGAAUACCCCGCGAAGAAAUCUGAGUUAUGUCCUCGGUUCCGGCGUAGUCGAAUGCGGGGUGAGCGUGAGCUUGCAGCGGUUGGAUCCGACGACUAACGAAAUCCUCAACAAUUUCAUAGCCAGUCAGUCCUCGCUCGCGAAGACCACUCACGAUGUCGACAAAAGCCUGGAGGGAGGGCGUCAUCGGGGGUUUGGAGUUCCAGUCCUCGGAACGAUCUGGUUGAACCUCGGGAACGAUAAGAACCGGGUCGAGUUAUUUUAUCCCCAGGUAUAACCAUCUCGUCCUCCACUGGCUCCGAGAUGAGUGGCAUUGGAGUGGGAUGUAUCUUGCCUUCAUGCCAUCACGAAGGCGGAAUCCGCAACAUCCUGAAACCCAAUUGGGUUCCAUCCACCGGAGUUCGUAGAAAAAGCGAAAAAGAUCAAGGAAAGGCACUACCCCAAUGUAGGGCUCGCAGAGAUGAGCAAAAAUGCUCAGGAAGGCAAUGGAGUUGGGGUUUAGGUGCAGGAGAAAGACCGUAGAAGUUUAAGAUCAGCAAGAGAAAUUCGGAAGGAGGAGGUAGAAAGCCACAUUUGAUGAAAUCCUCUACCGCUAUCAUGCGACCUAAAAUGGGAGAAGGAACAGUACCUCCUGCCUCCCUCACCAUGGUUUGCUUCGGAGGGAUGGCUCCUUCGUUGUACAGCUUCUUCAGCGUGGCGGCAUCGGAGGAAGACUGCUCGAGGUCCGCCAUCGGAAGAAGAUUGCCGGUGGAGGGUGUUGAAGAUUGGGGAACGAAGAGUCCGAAGAAGUUGAGGAACAGUGAGAGUUUUUUGGCAAACGGACCCGAAAUGAAUCUCAAAAUCCUAUUAUAUAGGCGCACUACCUGACGGUUCGUAUUUCGAGGAAAGGGGAGAGAUUGCCGCCGAAAAUUUCUGGGGACCGUUGUUCAGACUUCAAUUUAAAUUCAAAACCUGCACAGAUAGGCUCCCUGAAAGCGUUAUCGACAACUCUACAUCUCUACGGUUAUAUAACCGAGGUUGAUCUAACGAGUAUGACAACGCUAUAUCAGGAGAAGUCGCGUGCGAGAACAUGAAUUCAUUUAAGUUAAAGUCGGGGGCUACUGUCAGGGUUACGGAUAAGGCAUACCCUCUAUCCUACGACUUAUGGAAUACACCAAUAAGGUAUACCUUCAUGUAUACGGUUGGUUUCCAUAUACGUCAUUAGGAAUUCGCCUCAAAUUAUGGAAAAUAUCUCCACGAAGUUAAGGAAUUGCAGAAGUCCUACUCGGAAAGGGUAAAAUCUCCAGUAUAUCGUGUCGGUUUACAUAUCUUCAAGUCUUACUUGAGGGUCAAGGUAUCCCACGAUAUAAAAGGGACCCCUAGGGAAAGGCAAAGGAUAUCGUAUCUCAUCGCCAACACACCCACCAAAGUUUACGAAGCCGGAGUCCCCGGAGCCAACUCGCUGGGAGAUCUCGUCGAAUUCCUCGACUACGGUCUCAUUGGCAUCGCCAAUUCGGUUACUCUCUUUGUAAUCUGUUCUCAUCAUCAUCAAUCCCAUAUAAACUGGACUAGGGCUAUUACCUGAUAAGGGGCCUGAACCAGUAUAAUCCUUGUCUUUUGUCUGUUUUGAUGUCGUACUACGUAGAUCCCUGUUCCAACGUACCCUAAUACCCUAUUCUUUCGGUCCGCGAGUAUCACUCGUUGACAGAUAGCAAGAUAGUUAUAUUAGGAAAGAAUCUAUUUUAUACCGCCGAGUUUGUUUGAAUUCAACGAUUUGCCUUGACAUUGUCUUUCUAUGCGCCAUUGGGCUAGGCCUUAUUUUCAAAAAUAUCCUUAUGGACAUACAAGGUUAACAAUUGAUUAUCUAAUUUGAAGUUUUAAAAAAAUAAAAACUUUUAUGUGGCCUCCUUACACAACAUGGACGUUUGUAUAGAAGUUUUAAGUUUUUUACAUUUCUAUUUUUUAAAAAAAUAUAAUUUAUCUGCUAUAUGCUAUAUAAAAUAUUUUUUAUUGUUGUUUUUAAUAUAAAUCAUCUUUCAUACACUACAUAAAAUAUUUUUGUGCUAUUAUGUCUUGUAUAAGCAAAUUCUCUCUCAUAUAGCACAUAAAAAUAUUUUUUUAAAAAAAUCUAAAUUUACCAGAAAAAACUUGAAACUUGUAUACAAACUUACAUGUUGUGUAAGGAGGCCACAUAAAAAUUUUCAUAUUUUUUUGAAACUUCUGAUGAGAUAAAUUAAUUGUUAAUCUUGUAUGUCUCUUAGGUGUAUUUUUGAUAUUUUUGAAAAGAAGAUCUAGCCCAACGACGUAUUGUAGAAGAAUUGAUAAAGCCACCGGUAUAUUAUAGAAAGAGAUAAUGUCGAUAGCAAAUCGUUUAACUUGAAAGACUCGGUGGUAUAGAAUGGAGUCUAGUAGUCAUCAUAAGACCACAUUUCUGGAAAUGCACACAGUGAUGAGAAUGAGAGAAUCUACUUCAGAUGGGUGAUGAUGGGUACAUUUCAAUAUUUUUAUAUAGUUAUGACAGUAUAGAAGUUAAGGUGAAAGAACAAAAACUUGUCUAUGAAAUCUGGCUCUAUCAAAAAUCUAAAUGGACAAAGAAGCUCUUAUAUAUGUCUGAAACAAAAUGAAAAUGUGGCUCAUGCACUUGAUAGUGCAGUGAUAAAAGAUGUGUGGUUUUAACCAUAAGGUCCCAUGUUUAAUUCUCAACACGCUUAUAAUUUUUUUUAGAACGAAAAGAAAAUCUGAAUAAAAAUAAUAAGCAUGGGCCGGCCCACGCACCUAUUAAAUAUUAAAGGAUGGGGUUUUCCUUUUCCGGAAGAAAGAAAACGGACAGACUUGUCUCCGACCCGACCCGACCCGACCAGAUUGAAAGCAGGCGAGGCGAGGCGAAGCGAGCAGCUUGGGUAGCGCAUAGAGACGAACACUUGCAGUGCGUGCGCCACGGGACGGGAUGACCAUGGCGAUCUCUUCCUCCUUUGGUAUUUUUCGCUCUCUUCCCCCUUCGCCUCCUUCCACGGCCGCCGCCGCCACCGCCGCCGCGUCCACUAACUAAUCUCUCCUUCCGAUCGCGCUCAUGCAGGUGGCUGCUAACAUUUUUAUUUUAUUUUUGACCUUCUUCGAUCCUGGUUGCUCCCUGUGUGUGAGUGAGAUUCAGGUAAGUUUCCUCGGCGAGCUCGCCGUCCUCGCACGCGCGCUGGAAUUGAGUUAGCUAAUCUCAUUCCCGUCGCCGCAGAUUUGAACAGCAGAUUUGAACAGCAGAGAACGAAGAAGAAGCCGGCGGCCGCUCGAAACCCUUGACGGCGACCGGCCGGCGCUGCGCUCUUCAACCACUACACAUACUUACAGUGAGUGACUAAGGUAAAUUAAUUUCCUCCGCACUCGAUCGUAGAUGAUCCUGCAUACGCGUUCUCCGGCUUGCAUUGCUAGCUGAUCCUAGUUGAGGCCAGGCCACCAACUACUCGAUCGAUAGAUUUUCCGUUCGUUCGUUUCGUCCGGCGCGUGUGUGCUCCAGUGCGAGGGGGCGAUCCAUACAUACUCCAAAUCAACCAAAGUUAAUCAUCUGCCAUGUUCAUUUCAAUUCAUCCAUGCAUCCAGUGCUGUGCGAACAAAAGUGAUGUGAUUUUAUAACCUUUUUUUGAGUUGAACUUGUCUAGACCGAGUUGGGGGUUUAAUUUGUCUCAUCACCUUAUGGCUUGAUUUCUUUAGGUGCUAAAACUCGUUGGUUGUGUGCCGAGGCCGUAGAUGUAAAUCAUUUUCAUUAUCUAAAAAUAUAUCGAUCAUCUGCUUGUUUGAUUUGUGUGUACUGCAUACAUCGAUAGAUUGUGUCUGUCAUGCAUGUUUGAAUCUCUCAUACACAUGUAUAGUAUAGUAUAGUAUAGUAUAUCUCAGUAGUCGAUAAAUCAUGAUGCAGGGCAGGGGGCUUGGCUAACUGAAGAUCGAGAUCAGAGAGGCUAUCAGAGCAGAAACAUGGAGAUCUAUCUUAUCAAUGGCAGAGGACAAAUUCCACUUUCCCAUUGGAGAUCCCGAGGGCCGUGGUACCAAGAACACGUAUGCAUCUCUGGUCAGCAGCAUUGUCACUAGAAUCACCACCAGAGCAAUGGCGACCGUGGAGGGAAAGCCAGUUUGUGGGCCCUCGGGGUACUUUGAGAUAAUCCUUUUUCCUAAACCUGGCACUCAGUUCGCCGCAAAACAUGCUAAUGGCCGCGUCCGCCUGCUGUUUAACUACCAGAAUCUCUAUCUCGUCGCUUUCAAGGUGCAAGGUAAAUGGCACAAAUUCAAAGACCUCACUCCAAAAAUAGCUCCAGACUAUGCCAGCAUCAAGAGGAAGAAGCACUGCGAGGCCAAGAAUCUACCCUUCGAGUCCAACUACGGAGUAAGAGGAAUGGCGGCAAACUUAGCACAACUCAAGGUGAGCAGACAAACUCCACUUCAGAUCUAUAAGAUGCUGAGUUUGUAUGACCCUGAGCACAACGCGGGAAUGGUCCGAUUGUCAGACUUGCAAAAGAUGCUCUUCAAGACCUGUGCUGUGUUUCCGGAGGUGUUCAGAUUCCCAUUGCUGAAGAAGCGAGUCGUGUACCUGAUGGGUAAGACAGCAGACGAAGAGAGUACUGUCGGUGAGCAACACACCGAUCUGUUCCAGAACUGGGGUGAUUGUUGCAUGGCACUCAGGAUGGGGAGACAAGCUUUCACGCCGAUGGCUGAUCUAGAUAUCUACACGUUCGACCAGCUGCUCUCUACGAUCGGAGCCGUUUUGCCAGUUUGAAAUAUUCACUCUACGUGUCUUAGCUUGCUCCAAGCUGCUAGCUGCUUGCUUCUACCAUAUUAUAUAACUGCGUGCUGCUUAACUGUACUAAAGACCCCCCCUGCAGCUACCUCUGCUCUCCUUAGAUAUAUAGGAGUAUAUGCAUAUAUAUAAUUAUUACCACUAAUCAUCUAGUAUAUCAUACGACGACGACGAUACAUAUGUAUAUGAUCCACUUAAUGUUACCCUGUUACUAUCUAGCUACUUGCCAGAUUUUGAUCCACUACUCCAUGUUGGUGCAUACUUGAGACUAAAUUUGCGUGCACAUACUAGCUACCAUGUAUGUACGUACUAUUAUGUACCCUUCUUCUAGACAGCUUAUUAAUUAGUACUAAUUAGCUUGCAUAUGGUGUGUCGUUCAUCCAUUCUGUUAUCAGUUAUCCUGCAGUUAUUACAUAUAUAUAUAUACAGAUGUUGUACUGUCAAUAUAUCAGUUCAUGCAUAUGCUCUCUACCUAUCUACGUAUUAUAUAUGCAUAUGCAUGAAUCAUAUAUAUAUAUAUAUAUAUAUAUAUAUCUUGCUGAGAAAUAAGUGGAUAUGUAUACAACGUAACUUACACGGGUACACAAGUAUCCAUGCCAUGCACGCCAUAUUUAUGCUACAAAUUGUUGCCAUAUAUAUGUAUAUAUGACGCCUCAUGUAUAAGUGCAACUAGUUAAUGAAAGCCAUGCAUUCAUACUAAAAUUUACGAACAUAUACAUUCACAUUAGUAUGUUAGGCUCGAUUAUUAAAUGUGUUCGGAAAAUUCGACCUCUUAAUUAUUACUCCUUAUAUUAAUUAAUUAGGGCAAGUUCAUACUAAGAUACUCCCUAAUUCGACCUCUUAAGUAGUACGUACCACUUAAAUUUUGUUCAUGUCAUGGAUCGGAUCUCCUCGUCAACUAGUAACACUGGUGGAGAAACCAUCUUUCGUCGGUCGGCCGAUUUCCACAAUAGUUCCGGAUGCAAUAAAAACCGGGGCUAAAGAUGAUCUUUAGUCCCGGUUCAAAAGGGUAACGGGCAUAUUUGAUCUUUAGUCCCGGUUGGUAAAGAUCAUCUUUAGUCCCGGUUCGAAUGCUGUCAGGGCAUGUCAGGCCCCCCCGGGAUCUUUAGUCCCGGUUGAUACUUUAGUCCCGGUUGGUAAUACCAACCGGGGCUAAAGAUCCUGGUGAUCUUUAGCCCCGGUUGUUGCUACCAACCGGGACUAAAGUCCCACCCCUAUAUAUAUGUCUUCUUCCUCCUCCAGCUGCCCGAGCAAGCUUCAAAAUUUAUUCAAAAAAGAGGGGAGGUCAUGCCAAAAUUUCUAUUGAAUUUAUUUUGGUUAUUACAUACAAAUCGGAGGUGCCUAAAAGGUUUGCAACUUCAUCCUCCAAUAUUUUUUUUUGUCAUACUACAUUUGCACCUAUGUUUUGCACACUUUUUUUUGUCUCCAAAAUUUAGUUGUAAGUUGAUGAGAGAGAAAAUGUGUGUGGGGAAGAAAGAAUAUAUAGAAAUUUAGUUCAUUUGCUAAACAAGGUUUUAUAAAAUAGUUGAGAAGGAAAACUCUAGUGAAAGUUAAUCUUAAAUAAUAGAAAACAAACUAAAAUGAAAAUUAAAAGAAGUAAAACACAUUAAAAUUAGUUUAAAACUUUACACAUAGUUUUUAAGAAUUAUUUGGUGUAAUAUUUUAUUAUUUUUGUAUGAAUAAAGAUAUCUUAUAAUUAUUGUAUGACUGUCAUUAUUGUAAGAAUAAUUAUUUGUGUACGGUUUUUUUUGACUCAUGUAGAUGGAUCGGCAAUGGAUGUACGCUGACCGGCGGUCCAAAAGAGUUUAUUGACGGCGUGCACUAUUUUUUGAGAGUGGCCGAAGCUAACAGGCAAAGGGGUUUUAUUUGUUGUCCAUGCAAUAAUUGUGAGAAUCAGAAGGAGUAUUCUGCAUCCAGGACUAUUCAUUUCCACUUGUUUGAGUCGGGGUUCAUGCCAAGCUAUAAUUGUUGGACAUCCCACGGAGAGCAAGGUGUUGAAAUGGAAGAAGAUGAAGUGGAAGACGACAAUAUUCCGGACUUUGCUCAGUAUGUUGGAUUUGAAGAAAAUCAAACGGGCGAGGAGGAAACAGCUGCUGAUGGUAACGACGUUGCGGAUGAUCUUGGUCAGAUGUUGCAGGAUGCCAGGGAGGAUUGCGAAAGUGAAAAGGAGGCCUAUAAAUUGGACAAGAUGUUGGAGGACCACAGAACUUCGUUGUACCCAGGUUGCGAGUAGGGGCACAAAAAGUUGGAUACCACUCUGGAGUUCUUGCAAUGGAAGGCAAAAAAUGGGGUUAGUGACAAGGCAUUUGGCGAUUUAUUGAAACUCGUCAAGAACAUUCUUCCGGGGGGAAACAAAUUGCCCGAGACAACGUACGAGGCUAAGAAGAUAGUCUGCCCGUUAGGACUGGAAGUUCAUAAGAUUCAUGCAUGUCCGAACGAUUAUAUCCUAUAUCGCGGUGAGGAGUAUGAGAACCUAGAAGCAUGCCCUGUUUGCAAAGCACUACGAUACAAGAUUAGACGAGACGAUCCAGGAGAAGUUGACGGGCAGCUAACAAAGAAGAGAAUUCCUGCUAAGGUGAUGUGGUAUUUCCCUAUAAUACCAUGGCUAAGGCGUUUGUUCAGGAAUAAGGGGAAUGCUAGAAUGUUGCGAUGGCACGCUGAAGAGCGUCAACAGGAAGGGAUGCUGAGACACCCCGCCGAUGGUUCGCAGUGGCGAAACAUCGACAGAAAAUUUAAAGAAUUUGGAAAGGACGUACGAAACAUACGGUUUGGUUUGAGUACGGAUGGCAUGAAUCCUUUCGGAGAGAUGAGCAGCGGCCAUAGCACUUGGCCCGUUACGAUGUGCAUCUACAACCUCCCCCCUGGCUAUGCAUGAAGAGGAAGUACAUAAUGAUGCCGAUUAUUAUUCAAGGCCCCAAGCAACCUGGUAACGACAUCGAUGUGUACCUAAGACCACUGGUCGAAGAUCUUAAACAGUUGUGGAAGAAGGUAGGUGUCCCCGUGUGGGACGAGGACAAACAUGAGGAGUUUAACCUACGAGCGCUGCUGUUCGUAACCAUCAACGAUUGGCCUGCACUUAGUAACCUAUCCGGACAGUCCAACAAGGGGUACAAGGCUUGCACUCACUGUAUGGAUGAAACAGAAAGUACGUAUCUUAAGCACUGUAGGAAGGUUGUAUACAUGGGUCAUCGUCGAUUCCUUGCAGCAAACCACCCGGUACGAAAGAGAGGCAAGCACUUCGAACAUAAGGCCGACCACCGUACGAAGCCUAAACAUCGCAGCGGGAAAACAGUGUUUGCUAUGGUUAAAGAUCUUAAAGUAGUGUUCGGAAAGGGGCCUGGAAGCCAGCCUAUAGAGAGCGAAGAUGGUCACGCGGCGAUGUGGAAAAAGAACUCUAUAUUUUGGGAGUUACCAUAUUGGGAAUUCUUGGACGUACGCCACGCAAUCGACGUGAUACACCUCACUAAGAACCUUUGCAUAAACCUUCUUAGCUUCCUAGGUGUAUACAGAAAGUCGAAAGAUACACUGGAAGCACGUAAUGAUCUGAAGCAUAUGGAACAAUGCGGCGACCUUCACCUGGAACCAAAGGAGAAAGGAAGCCAUUACUUGAGUCCAGCUAGCUACACUCUUAGCAAGGCAGAGAAGGAAAGUAUGUUUGAAUGCUUGGAGAGCAUAAAGGUACCAUCUGGAUACUCCACGAAUAUCAAGCGAAUAAUAAGCACGAAGGAGAAGAAGUUCACAAACCUAAAGUCUCAUGAUUGUCACGUGUUGAUGACACAACUGCUACCAGUUGUAAUAAGGGGUAUCCUUCCAGACAAUGUCCGGGCAACAAUAACAAAGCUAUGUGCAUUCAUGAAUGCAAUUUCGCAGAAGGUCAUCGAUCCGGAUAGAUUAGAAGCCCUUCAGAAUGAAGUGGUGCAAUGUCUCUCAGUUUUGAGUUGAUAUUUCCACCUUCAUUUUUCAAUAUAAUGACGCAUCUGCUUUGUCACCUUGUGAAAGAGAUCCGUAUUCUCGGGCCUGUGUACCUACACAACAUGUUUCCUUUCGAGAGGUACAUGGGCGUUCUGAAGAAGUAUGUUCGUAACCGUGCUCGUCCAGAGGCAAGCAUCGCCAAGGGUUAUGGAACAGAGGAGGUCAUCGAAUUUUGCGUAGAAUUUAUCGAAGACCUUCGCCCAAUCGGGGUACCUAAAUCACGCCAUGAAGGGAGACUACGGGGAAAGGGAACUCUCGGAAGGAAAGCAAUAAUGACGGUAGACAACAAUUUAUUCCGUAAAGCCCAUUUCACUGUUCUGCAACACUCUUCAUUGGUAGCUCCUUACAUCGAGGAGCACUUGGCUCUAGUUCACGCCAAGAACAUCGGUAAGUCCGAUGCAUGGAUUACACGGCAUCACAUUGAUACUUUUCCCACGUGGCUACGACAACAUCUCAUGGGUAACGAGUCGAUCAACCAACAACUUGCCUUCCUGGCGAGGGGACCGUCUGGGUCGAUCACGACAUUCCAGGGAUAUGAGAUCAAUGGGUACACAUUCUACACGAGAGCCCAAGACAUGAAGAGCACGAACCAAAACAGCGCUGUUCGUGUCGAUGCCAUGGGACACGAUAGAACAACUGCCACGUAUUACGGUGCCAUCGAGGAUAUAUGGGAACUUGACUAUGGUCCUUAUGGUUCCUCUGUUCCGGUGCCAAUGGGUUAGGUUGACUAGUGGAGGCGUAAUGAUUGAUGAUAGUGGUAUGACAACUGUUGACCUUAACAAGGUUGGAUACUCGGACGAACCUUUUGUCCUUGCCAAUGAUGUAACGCAAGUCUUUUUCGUGAAGGACAUAUCUAGCAAAGGAAAGAAGGGCAGAGGGCCUGACGAGCCUAAGUGUCAAGUGGUUCUCACAGGCAAAAUAAAAA
rnacentral:lncRNA from 1 species